rnacentral:lncRNA from 1 species
CGUCGGCGAGGCUGUUCGUGACUGAGGCGUGCGACUUGCCUCGCGGACGGAGAUAGAGACGGCGGAGACGGUUGCAGAACCGUGGCUUCGACAGAGACAGAACCGGCUGAGACGGCUGGGCAGCGGCGGAAGAGCAACGGCGCCGCAGAUCUGGACUGGCAACGGCGCGAUCUUGCUUCGCGGCUGGGCUGCGGACGGAAGAAGAAAGUGGAAGGAAAGGACUGGCGGCUGGCUGCGACUGGCUGCGAUUGGCUGCGGCGGGACGGGAAGAAGAAGAUAGAGGUGGUGGUUGCGGCGGAAAGAAAAACGGAAGGGAAGGGAGGCGACGGUUUGCGAACGGGAGAGAAGGGGGAAGGGAUCGACGCGCACGCAGAAGAAGAAGGGAGAAAAGAAAAGAAAAAGAAAAAGAAGAAAAGUAAAAUAAUAAAGAAAUUUUGUAAUAUUAAAAUAAUAUAUAAAUAAAAUAAAAUAUAUAUAUAUAUAUAUAUAUAUAUAUAUAUAUAUAUAUAUAUAUAUAUAUAUAUAUAUUUACCUUUUCUUUGGGCAUUACAAUCUUCCCUCCUUAAGAAACUUUCGUCCUCGAAAGUUCUAAUCCUGAAAUAACUCUGAAUAACGAGUCCUCAUCUCUUCUUCUCGCUCCCAUGUCGCCUCUUCAAUUCGAUGUUUCUGCCACAAAACCUUUACUAAUGGAAUGCUUCUAUUACGAAGCAUCUUUACCUCUCUAGCCAGAAUCUCCACAGGUUGUUCUACAUAGCUCAAAUGCUCAUCAAUCUCCAAGGGUUCAUAGUCCACUACAUGAGAUGUAUCGGCCACAUACUUCCUCAACAUCGAAACAUGGAAAACAUUAUGAACUGCAGAGAGAGAUGGUGGUAAUGCCAAGCGAUACGCCACAACACCAACCCUCUCUAAGAUCUCAAAUGGUCCAACAAAACGAGGACUUAACUUUCCUUUCUUCUCAAAACGCAUAACACCCUUCAUAGGUGCUACCUUCAAGAAUACCUUUUCUCCCACAUCGAACUUAAGGUCUUUUCGCCGUACAUCCGCAUAACUCUUCUGUCUACCCUGCGCUGUUUGCAUACGUGCUCUAAUCUUUUGAAUAGCCUCAUUAGUAGACCGAACUAAUUCAGGUCCCACCAAUCUAUGUUCACCAACCUCACUCCAACAAACAGGGGUUCUACAACAUUAGCCAUACAAAGCCUCAAAUGGUGCCAUACCGAUGGUAGCCUAGAAACUAUUGUUAUAAGCAAACUCCAUCAAAUGUAGAUGAGAGUCCCAACUACCUGGAAACUCUAUAACACAAGCUCGUAGCAUAUCCUCUAAAACUUGGUUCAAACGUUCAGUUUGACCAUCAGUCUGUGGAUGAAAGGCUGUACUGAAAUCCAAUCUCGUACCCAUAGCAGUCUGAAGUCCCUUCCAAAACUUGGAAGUAAACCGUGCAUCCCUAUCAGAAACAAUCGAUACAGGUACUCCAUGCAGUCUCACAAUCUCAGUUAAAUACAACUCUGCCCACUUACUAGCAGUAUAAGUGGAUUUUCCUGGUACAAAAUGUGCCGAUUUCGUAAGCCUGUCUAUGACAACCAGAAUCACUGUGAAACCCUUCAGGGUCUUAGGCAGCCCUGAAAUAAAAUCCAUCGACACAUUCUCCCACUUCCACUCUGGCACACUUAAAGGUUGUAACAAACCUGCUGGUUUCUGUCUAGGUGCCUUAACUUGCUGACAUACUAGACACUUACUAACAAAUUCCGCCACUUCCCUUUUCAUAUUCCGCCACCAAUAAAAUCGUUUUAGAUCCUGAUACAUUUUCGUGCUACCAGGAUGCAUGGAAAAUGGGGAAUUAUGGGCUUCAUCUAGUAAGUCAAUCUUAACUGUACUGUUCGCUGGCACACAUAAACGUCUCUCAAACAUCAACCCACCAUCAGAGGAUAUGGAGAACUCAUCAGUCUGCCCUGUUUCAACAAGGCGACGUCUCUCCAUCAAAUAAGGAUCACUACUCUUAGCAUCAACAAUCUUCUGCCUCAGAGUCGGUUACACCGUUAAUUGAGCUAGCUGUGAGGUGACUCUCCCCACAGACACAGCAAUCUCAGCUCUCUCCAAGUCUCGAUGUAACUGUACCUGUCUAGUAAUGAGUGCUGUCGAAUGUGAUACUUUUCUACUAAGAGCAUCAGCCACCACAUUCGCCUUACCAGGAUGGUACAAUAUCUCACAGUCAUAAUCUUUUACCAACUCGAGCCACCUUCGCUGUCUCAUAUUCAACUCCUUCUGAGUGAAGAAGUACUUUAGGCUCUUAUGGUCAGUAAAGAUUUGUAUCUUUUCACCGUACAAGUAAUGUCUCCAUAUCUUCAAUGCAAAAACCACUGCUGCCAACUCCAAAUCAUGUGUGGGGUAGUUCUGCUCGUGACUCUUCAACUGACGAGAGGCAUAAGCAACCACCUUACCUUUCUGCAUCAAAACACAACCCAGUCCUUUCUUGGAAGCAUCACUGUAAAUCACAAAACUUCCAGAUCCAUCUGGUACAGUAAGGACCGGUGCAGUAACUAACCUUUGCUUUAAGUUCUGAAAACUAUCCUCACAAGCUGGACUCCAAACAAACGGAGUUCCCUUCCUUGUCAACUGAGUCAAGGGAGUAGCCAAACGUGAAAAAUCCUCCACAAACCUCCGGUAGUACCCUGCUAAACCCAGAAAACUACGAACCUCACUAACUGUAGAGGGUCGAGACCAACUGGUAACCGCUUCUAUCUUUGCAGGGUCUACUGAAACUCCCUCACUGGAAACCACAUGACCAAGAAAAGCCACCUGCUUCAACCAAAAUUCGCACUUAGAGAACUUAGCAUACAGUUUAUUGACUCGAAGAGUCUCUAACACCUUAUGUAAGUGUUCCUCAUGUUCGGCUUCAGUCUUGGAAUAAACCAAAAUAUCAUCAAUGAAGACUAUCACAAAAGUGUCCAAGAAAUCCUUAAACACCCUGUUCAUCAAAUCCAUAAAUACAGCAGGUGCAUUAGUCAAACCAAAAGACAUUACUAUGAAUUCAUAAUGUCCAUACCUCGAACGAAAAGUCUUAGGAAUAUCACGGUCUCUAAUCCUCAACUGGUGAUAACCUGACCGUAAGUCAAUCUUAGAGAACACCGUGGCUCCCUGUAACUGAUCGAACAAAUCAUCGAUUCUGGGUAAAGGAUAUCUGUUCUUGACUGUUACUUUAUUCAACUCUCUAUAGUCAAUGCAAAGACGCAUCGACCCAUCCUUCUUCUUCACAAACAAUACUGGUGCACCCCAAGGUGACACACUAGGUCGAAUAAAGCCUUUGUCAAGCAAUUCCUGUAACUGUACCUUCAGUUCUUUCAACUCAGCAGGAGCCAUCCUAUAAGGGGCUCUAGAAAUAGGAGUAGUGUUUGGCUCCAACUCAAUGGCAAAAUCAACCUCUCUAUGUGGCGGUAGUCCUGGAAGAUCUUUUGGAAAUACAUCUGGGUAGUCUCUUACCACAGGUUCUGAAGUUAAAGAAGUCUCACCUUCCCUAGUAUCCACCACACUUGCCAAAAUACUCCAAGUACCCUGGUUGAGUAGUUUACUAGCUUUCAUAGCUGAGAUUACUUUAGGCAGUACUACUGUUCCUACCCCCUUGAAUUUAAAGCUAGAUGCAGUAGGGGGACUGAACACAACUUCCUUACGAGAACAAUCAAUACUAGCAUGAUUAGUAGCUAGCCAAUCCAUACCUAAAAUUACAUCAAAGUCACGCAUAUCUAAUACCAACAAGGUUACGUCCAGCACACGACCAGCUAUCUCAAUUUCACAUGCUUUAAUCUUUUCCUUAGACAACAUAAUUUCUCCAGACGGUGUAGACACUGACAAAACAUAGUCUAAGGGUUCCACCUCUAAGCAUGCAUGCGUCACAAAAAGCGAUGAAAUAAAUGAAUGAGAAGAUCCCGAGUCAAACAAGGUCAAGGCAAAAUGCCCUAACACUGGUAAUGUACCUGUCACUACUGUGCCGGCCUUCUCUGCCUCUGAUCUAUUAGUGGCAAAGAUUGUACCCCGCUGUGGAGGUCUCUCUCCCUGACUGCUCGAUCCAGCCCCAGUAGAUCUCAAGGGACACCUAUCAGCCAUGUGUCCCUCUUGCUUGCACUUAUAACAGACUCUCGUUCCCAUCAAACAACGACCCAGGUGGCGUUUCCCACACGUAUUACAUACUGGCCUCUCUCGAGUAGUGUCUCCUGCACCGCCAGAACUCUGCUGGAAACUGCGAAAAGGAUCGCCUGGUCUCAAGUUCCUCUGAGGAACUCCUACAGUUCUCUGCUCUACUUUUCUCUUUUGACCCGACGACGAUCCCUUAUCAAAGCUCCUUGGCUGUCUUUCAUCCUUCCCAAUACUCAUAUCCACUGCCAGACGCAGUGCUUCAGCUUGGGUAGUGGGCUUUAGUGCUCGCACAAAGCCCCUAAUUUCAUCUCUCAAUCCCUUGACGAACCUAUCAGCUCUAGCCUGCUCAUUACUAACAAGCUCAGGGGCAAAACGUGACAGCAUAUCAAACUCCUGGUCGUACUCCUCGACUGUCAUAUAUCCUUGCUUCAACUCCAAGAAUUCCUGGCUUUUGGCGUCUCUAAGGUUAGCCGAGAAAAACUUGGUAUAGAAGCAGUCCUUAAACUGAUCCCAGGUAAUCUGCCUCACAUCUCCACCUAGCAUGCGCAUUGUAGUCCUCCACCAGAUAAUGCCUCUGUCCCUCAGUAGAAAAGCAGCACACUGAACUCUGUGCUCCUCGGGACAUCUCAUGUAAUUAAAUAUGGUUUCCACAGAGGACAACCACAUUUCAGCUUUAGUAGGAUCCUCCAGUGACCCAUCAAACGUCUGAGGGUCAUACUUCCGAAAGUCCCUCAAAUGUUUCGCCUCAGCAGAAAGUUGGUUAGGUAAUUCUUGUGCAGGAGGGGCUGCUGGUGCAGGGGGAACUACAGGUGCAGGUGGAACUGCAGGUGCCUGCUGGUUUUGAGCUAUAGCUGUCAUAAGUUCUGUAAACCUCUGCUCCAUGUGAGCAGACAGUGCAUCAAACUCAACGUGAGUCACGGGUGCAGCAGGAAUUCGCUGUUCAGCUUGACCCUCAGUAGGCUGAUUACGACCUGCUCCUCUACCUCGGCCUCCUGCUCUCCUCUACCUCGGCCUCUACGACCUCCUCUACGUACACCUUCCCUUGGCGGCAUAAUUCCUAUUAUCCACCAACAACACUCUUUAACAAAAUCUUAAUCAUAAGCAUAAGCAAGUCUUUAUCGUCAUGCAAUCUAGUUUAAUUUAGGCAAGGUCAUGCAAAUAAACCAUACAUAUAAGCAUCAAGCAUACCUGACGAGAGACGAAGGGUCGCGUUAGCCAUAAGAACACAAAAACAUAGACUUACAUCGUAAGUCAGUCUACAUAACCUAAAACUUAGGCUCUGAUACCAACUGUAACGACCCAACUUUUCUAAGUAAGUCGAGAUCGAUAAUUUUUAACAAAUAAAGACUUUGAUUAAUAUAAAACAAAACGUAAACAAUUAAAAAAAAAAAAUCAUCUUCAAGUCAGGCCUGAUUUUUAAACAUUCAAGAAAACAUAAAAUAGUACUAUUUACAACAAACGUUUGUAAACUAAAUUUCAAUUCAUUUUAAACCUCACAAGAACCCAUAAGCGGAAGCAAAAACACGUUUCCUAUGGCAUCAUGUUUCCUUCCUGCCCCUCGCCUGUUUGCCGCCUUUAUUACCUUUGCCUGAAAAUUAAACAUAACAAGGGUGAGUAUUUAAAUACUCAGUAAGAGACCCUCUACUGGUCUCGUCAGGGGAAAAUAAAUUGUUAAAGUUCUAUUGGGACACCCUGUACAGUCGCAGUCUUGUGAUCCCGUAGGAUACACAUCUCAGUCUAACGCCCCGAGGGACGUACAUAUCAGUCUAACGCCCCGAGGGACGUACAUAUCAGUCUAGUGUUCUGCAGAAACACAUAUCAGUCAAAUGCUCCCGAAGGUGCACAAUAAAUUGGUGAUCCCGUGGGACACCUACAAGGUAAACAUCCCAAUACAAUCUAACAAUUUAUCCCCUCAUUCCAUUCAACCCAUCUUUCAGUUACUUCAAGUCACAAAGUUCUUUCUUUCAACAUCCUAACAGUCAACUUAUUUUACUACAGUCAUAUGUCUGUCAAUAAUAUGCUAAUACAUCAGUCAAUCCACUAUACAGUCAAUGCACCCCUCAGUUCACCAGCACACAGUCAUACUUUAGCGUAAUCAUACACCCAAUCUAAACGAGAAUCUCAUACAAACACAAUCUACAAUCUCCGUCCUGUCCACAUACACACAUUUAUAUAUAGAUUCCAUGACAAUCACGACAUACAUUCGACGUCAAGUCUACUUCAAUUCAUAUACAUUCAUAUAUAUUUUCAGUCAACCCCAGUAUACAUUCAACACACAUACAGUUCACAAUCACAGUUCACAAUCACAAUUGAGUCCAGUAGAAAAUCCCUUACCUGGAUCUUUAUGUAAAAUUCCUUAGUCGAACUAACUUCAACAAACAAACCCCAAGAGUAAAGAAUCGAACUCCAACAAAGCUUAAGGCGUAACUCAAGGACACUAACUCCAAAUCACCGAUGUCACCUUCAAGAACAAAGAUCAAUUCAACCAAUUAAACAACAUCACAUCUUAAUGUAUUUACAAAUGUAAGACCUUAUUACCGAACAAUCUCAUCCUUACCAAUAUCUUGUAACAAGACUUUGACAAUCGACGUUAAAUAGAAGUUGCCGCAGGAUCUACACAAAAGACAUCGUGCAAAACACUUUUGCACGCGAACUGGUCCGCGAUUCGUAAAUGGGACAGCGGGUAUCGACGAAGGCAGAACGGUUCGGACGUUCAACAGCAGUUACGCGCGGACGGGAGUAGCUCGGCAACGUAGCCGAAUUCGUGCGAUGCGGCGUGACCUGCGUCGGCGAGGCUGUUCGUGACUGAGGCGUGUGACUUGCCUCGCGGACGGAGAUAGAGACGGCGGAGACGGUUGCAGAACCGUGGCUUCGACAGAGACAGAACCGGCUGAGACGGCUGGGCAGCGGCGGAAGAGCAACGGCGCCGCAGAUCUGGACUGGCAAUGGCGCGAUCUUGCUUCGCGACGGGGCUGCGGACGGAAGAAGAAAAUGGAAGGAAAGGACCGGCGGCUGGCUGCGGUUGGCUGCGGCGGGACGGGAAGAAGAAGAUAGAGGUGGUGCUUGCGGCGGAAAGAAAAACGGAAAGAAAGGGAGGCGACGGUUUGCGAACGGGAGAGAAGGGGGAAGGGAUCGGCGCGCACGCAGAAGAAGAAGGGAGAAAAGAAAAGAAAAAGAAAAAGAAGAAAAGAAAAAUAAUAAAGAAUUUUUUUAAUAUUAAAAUAAUAUAUAUAAAAAUAAAUAAAUAUAUAUAUAUAUAUAAUAUAUAUAUAUAUAUAUAUAUAUUUACCUUUUCUUUGGGCAUUACAGGUUCGGUUUCAAUGAAGAUUUUUUUUAUCAUUUUGCGGUUCGAUUCGGUUUUAGCUUCAAACCGAACCGCGAACACCACUAAUAUGUAAUGUUGAGAUCAACUGAAUAUGUUUGUAAUGUAGGGACUUUGAUGAAAGAAUUGAAAAUUCAGGAAAUUGUAUGAAAAAAAAUGGUUGAAUGUUAAAUUGACUUAUGAAUAGUGUAUAUGAAACAAUACAUUAUAUAUUUUAUGAAUGAAAUGUUAUGCAAUCAAUUUGUUAAAUUGGUUUAUUUAUUUUAUUUCAAAUAUUUAUUUUAUAUGUAAUAAAUAAUAAGUUAUGUUUGAAACAGCAGUAUAAGGAUAUAUCAUAAUAUAUAUUGUUCAUUUAAGGUUAGUAAGAAUUUUAUAUUUUGUAUUUGAAAUAUACUAUGAUAUAUUGAGUACAUCAAAGAUGACAUCAUUUAUGUACUAUUGAAAAUAUGAAGUAGUAUAUAUAUGUAACAAAUCACAUAAGAUAUAUGUAUCAUGUACUAGUAUAUACGUCAUUAUUUAUAUAUACACACCUAAUGAAAAAAAGUAGAGUGUGUGGGACCCACGUAUAUAAAUAAUGAGAAAAUAAAAAAUGUUGGCCCAAUGUAAUAUAUAUAUAUAAGUAAAAAAUAAACUAUGUAGGGUCCACUGCAUGAAAAUUGUGUAGGGGUACAAAACUUCACCUCAACUCACCUAUUUUUGUCAAUAGUUUUGCAUUCACCUACUUUUGACAUAUGUUUCAAAAUUUACAUUAUUUUUUAAAAAAAGUUCUAUACAUAAUAAAUAAUAACUCGUGAUUGAAACAAGAGUGGUUAUGUAUGAAGGAUAGUAUAUUAAAUAUAAUAAAUUGAAAAACUUUGAUUGGUACCGUAGAUGAAAAUUUAUGAAAAAAUAUAGAAAUAAAAUAACUAAAUUUAAAACUGAAAUAUGAAUAUUUCAAAUAAAAGUAUAAAUCAACAUACUAAAAGUUUAAUAAUAAGAAAGAAAAAUUAGUUCAAUAAGGAAAGCUUGCAUCUCUUUCGUUUAUGACAACCACAUUUAAAACUUCAUUUUAGAAUGAAUUCUAAUAUUUUUUUGUUGACCAACUGAACGUUUUACAUUCAAUGGGAUGAUGUCAACUUCAAUUACUGUAUUAUUGAAUAUAUGCAUUAGUAUGUAUGUAACAAAUCAAAUAAAAUACUAAUCGAAUAUAGAAAAAUAUAAAGAAAAUGACACAAAACGUGAAGGAAAAAAACUGAACUAUAUAUGUGUCACAAAAUACGUGUUAUUAUAUUUAUAUAAAUGUAUAUAUUGAUAACAUCACCUGUCUAUGUAGUGAUAUAUAUUGAAAUUCAACUAUAAAUUAUGUAGAACUAUAUGUCACUAAAUAUUUAUGUUGUAAAUAAGGUGUAUCUAUAUAUUAAAUCACAUCAUAAACAUAUUAUAAUUUACGAGUAUAUUAUAGUAUAUAUUGUUCAUUUAAAAGAUAUAUGACAAAUAGAAGGUAUAUAAUUAUACGAAGUGAGAAUAUGUAUGUAUGAUAUUCUCACUACAUAUUAUAUAUACACUAAGAAUGUGUAUUUUACUGUUUUAGUAGUAUUUACUAUAUAAAUAUAUAUUUUAAAUAUUAAUUAUUAAUGAAUAUAUAGUUUACUACAUGUUGUUACAACAUACUUAAGAUAUAAAUGUUUAUAUGACUAACAACAUAAUAUUACUAUAAGAUAAACAAAAAAAUAAAGAACAGAUUGAAUUGAAAAAUAUUUUCGAUUAUUGUAUGUCACUAUAUAUGUCUGAUUGUAUAUAUCUCUAAGAAAUAUUACAUAAUGAGGUAGUGUAACGACCCAACUUUUCUAAGUAAGUCGAGAUCGUUAAUUUUUAACAAAUAAAGACUUUGAUUAAUAUAAAACAAAACGUAAACAAUUAAAAAAAAAACAUCUUCAAGUCAGGCCUGAUUUUUAAACAUUCAAGAAAACAUAAAAUAAUACUAUUUACAACAAACGUUUGUAAACUAAAUUUCAAUACAUUUUAAACCUCACAAGAACCCAUAAGCGGAAGCAAAAACACGUUUCCUAUGGCAUCAUGUUUCCUUCCUGCCCCUCGCCUGUUUGCCGCCUUUAUUACCUUUGCCUGAAAAUUAAACAUAACAAGGGUGAGUAUUUAAAUACUCAGUAAGAGACCCUCUACUGGUCUCGUCAGGGGAAAAUAAAUUGUUAAAGUUCUAUUGGGACACCCUGUACAGUCGCAGUCUUGUGAUCCCGUAGGAUACACAUCUCAGUCUAACGCCCCGAGGGACGUACAUAUCAGUCUAACGCCCCGAGGGACGUACAUAUCAGUCUAACGCCCCGAGGGACGUACAUAUCAGUCUAGUGUUCUGCAGAAACACAUAUCAGUCUAAUGCUCCCGAAGGUGCACAAUAAAUUGGUGAUCCCGUGGGACACCUACAAGGUAAACAUCCCAAUACAAUCUAACAAUUUUCCCCUCAUUCCAUUCAACCCAUCUUUCAGUUACUUCAAGUCACAAAGUUCUUUCUUUCAACAUCCUAACAGUCAACUUAUUUUAAUACAUCAGUCAAUCCACUAUACAGUCAAUGCACCCCUCAGUUCACCAGCACACAGUCAUACUUUAGCGUAAUCAUACACCCAAUCUAAACGAGAAUCUCAUACAAACACAAUCUACAAUCUCCGUCCUGUCCACAUACACACAUUUAUAUAUAGAUUCCAUGACAAUCACGACAUACAUUCGACGUCAAGUCUACUUCAAUUCAUAUACAUUCAUAUAUAUUUUCAGUCAACCCACAAUAUACAUUCAACACACAUACAGUUCACAAUCACAGUUCACAAUCACAAUUGAGUCCAGUAGAAAAUCCCUUACCUGGAUCUUUAUGUAAAAUUCCUUAGUCGAACUAACUUCAACAAACAAACCCAAAGAGUAAAGAAUCGAACUCCAACAAAGCUUAAGGCGUAACUCAAGGACACUAACUCGAAAUCACUGAUGUCGCCUUCAAGAACAAAGAUCAAUUCAACCAAUUAAACAACAUCACAUCUUAAUGUAUUUACAAAUGUAAGACCUUUUUACCAAACAAUAUCAUCCUUACCAAUAUCUUGUAACAAGACUUUGACCAUCGACGUUAAAUAGAAGUUGCCGCAGGAUCUACACAAAAGACAUCGUGCAAAACACUUCUGCACGCGAACCGGUCCGCAAUUCGUAAAUGGGACAGCGGGUAUCGACGAAGGCAGAACGAUUCGGACGUUCAACAUCAGUUACGCGCGGACGGGAGUAGCCCGGCAACGUAGCCGAACUCGUGCGAUGCGGCGUGACCUGCGUCGGCGAGGCUGUUCGUGACUGAGGCGUGCGACUUGCCUCGCGGAUGGAGAUAGAGACGGCGGCUGGGUUCGGCUUCGACGGAGACAGAACCGACGAUGGAGAUGGCAGAUCGGCACGCGGGCUGCAGCUGGGCUGCGGUGGGAAGAGGAACGGAGAUGGCCGGCGGCGGUUGCUGCGCGAACGGAGAGAAGGGGAAGGUGGGUCGCACGGCGCACGGGAGGAGAAGAGAAAUAGGGAAAAGAAAAGAAAAAGGAAAAAGAAAAGAAAAGGAAAAAGAAAAACAAAAUAUAUAUAUUUCUUUUUCUUUUCUUUUUAUUUAAAUUAAAUACAAAAAAAUAUAUAUAUAAAUACCUUUGGGGCAUUACACGUAGUAUAUAUGUAACAAAUCACAUAAUAUAUAUGUAUUAUGGAGUAGUAUAAAUGUAAUUGUUGAGCAAGAAAUUUUAACCAAUGAAAUUACACCAAGUUGUGAUGAUUAUAAUUUGAUAGGAAUCGGGUAGUCAAGUUUUCCAACCCAAUUCAAGCCCCUGAUAAAAAAUCAGGCCAAACAAAGGGGCCUAAGCCCAUUAAGAAAAUGGGCCCAAGCCCAAGUCCAAGCUCAACAACUCAACAAGCAAAUGGGUCCAAGCCCACAUAAAGUCCACAAAUUUUCUCUAUAAGUAGAGACCUUUGUCAUUCAUUCGAGAGAUCUUUUGUUGAAGGAAGAAAUGAAGCUCUGAAGUACUGAAGCUUUGAAGAAUUGAAGAUUCAAACUUCUAUAGAGCUCUCAAGACGUGCAAGUUCUUAUCAACUUCGAGAUCAUCAUCUUCUGAAAUAUUGAAGACUUGGAAGAUCAAAAUUUCCUUGAAUUCCAGAAGACUGAAGCUGAAAUAGACCGAACCAUUUAAAUUCGGUUUGGACUAUUUGAGACAGCAACAAACUAUGUUUUUUGUUCUGUACAUAAAUGGUGUGGUUUGAUUCGGUUUUAACAAGCGGUUCAAUUUAUACCGUUUAGACUUGAUCUUAUAUAAUGUGAAAUUAUUUUUUUUCUUUGAAUUUUUAUCUAAGUGUACUCAAAUUGUAUACCAUGUUACAAAAUUAAUUGCAAUAAAUUUUUUAAAAUUUUCAAAAAUAUCAUAAAUUGACUAAUAUUUUAUACAAAUAUAGAGUAAAAAUGACCAAUUUAAUCUUUUUAUUAUUAAUAAUAUAUUAAAAAUAAAAAGAAAAGUGAACCACGUUUAAGAUUUUCAUUUAUUAAAUAUUCUAUGAAAAUAUGGAUUAAAUUCUAUUAAAGUAAUAUUAAUAAUAAAAAUUGUCCUUAGUUUGCUUUUUAUGAUUUUAUUAAAAAAUUGUCCUUUUUUUAUUUUGCAUUCUUUUUCAUAUAUUUUAUAUAAUUAUAGUAUAUAUCGAAUAAUAUAAUGUAUAUUUUAUUAGUGAAAUGUUCUUAUAUCAAUUUAUUUAUUUAUUUUAUUUAAAUAUUCAUAUCUUACGUAGUAAAUAAUACAUUAUGUUUGAAAUAAUAUUAAUUAUAUAUGAAAGUUGUUUAUGUUUACAAGAACAUGAAUGAGAAAUAAUUAUGAUGAGUAUAUGUAAUAUAUGUCAUUAAAAUAUUUGUUAUUCUCUAGUAUAUGUAAUAGGGGUGUUCAAAAUGAAGUUGAAAACUGAAUCGAAUCACUAAUCGAACCGAAAUCGAAUGCAUAUGGUUCGGUUCGAUUCGAUUUCUAUUUCAAAAAAACCACAUAAAAUUCGGUUCGGUUCAGUUUAAGAUGUUAAGAACCGAUUCUCAAACCGAACUGAAUUGCUUUAUUUUAAAAACUAAAUAUAUAUAUAUAUAUAUAUAUAUAUAUAUAUAAUAUAUAUAUAUAUAUAAUAUAUAUAUGUUAAUAAUAAGACUUUUUUAGACUUCAAAGCGGGUAUAGAGUCAAAAAUAAAUGAGAGGAACGAAAAGGAGAAGAAUGACAUAAUCAAAACGUAAAUGACAAGUUGUCUUGACGAAAUUUGUAUGACUGUAGGACUUUUAUUCAUCUUAGGUGGAUUUUAAAACUUUUAUGUGUUAUUGGACUUUCAAAUUUCAAUGUUUGAAACAUCUAUGUGUGUAAUUUUGAAAUUUCUAUGUUUAUAACUUUGUAUAAGCCGUUCGGUUUUGAUUUGAUUUUAUUUAUGUAUAUGUGGUUCGGUUUUCAUUCGGUUUGGCAUAGAUGAGCGGUUCGGUUCAGUAACGACCAAACUUUUCUAAGUAAGUCGAGAUCGUUAAUUUUUAACAAAUAAAGACUUUGAUUAAUAUAAAACAAAACGUAAACAAUUAAAAAAAAAAAAAACAUCUUCAAGUCAGGCCUGAUUUUUAAACAUUCAAGAAAACAUAAAAUAGUACUAUUUACAACAAACGUUUGUAAACUAAAUUUCAAUUCAUUUUAAACCUCACAAGAACCCAUAAGCGGAAGCAAAAAAACACGUUUCCUAUGGCAUCACGCUUCCUUCCUCCCUCUCGCCUGUUUGUCGCCUUUAUUACCUUUGCCUGAAAAUUAAACAUAAGAAGGGUGAGUAUUUUAAAUACUCAGUAAGAGACCCUCUACUGGUCUCGUCAGGGAAAAAUAAAUUGUUAAAGUUCUAUUGGGACACCCUGUACAGUCGCAGUCUUGUGAUCCCGUAGGAUACACAUCUCAGUCUAACGCCCCGAGGGACGUACAUAUCAGUCUAGUGUUCUGCAGAAACACAUAUCACUCAAAUGCUCCCGAAGGUGCACAAUAAAUUGGUGAUCCCGUGGGACACCUACAAGGUAAACAUCCCAAUACAAUCUAACAAUUUAUCCCCUCAUUCCAUUCAACCCAUCUUUCAGUUACUUCAAGUCACAAAGUUCUUUCUUUCAACAUCCUAACAGUCAACUUAUUUUACUACAGUCAUAUGUCUGUCAAUAAUAUGCUAAUACAUCAGUCAAUCCACUAUACAGUCAAUGCACCCCUCAGUUCACCAGCACACAGUCAUACUUUAGUGUAAUCAUACACCCAAUCUAAACGAGAAUCUCAUACAAACACAAUCUACAAUCUCCGUCCUGUCCACAUACACACAUUUAUAUAUAGAUUCCAUGACAAUCACGACAUACAUUCGACGUCAAGUCUACUUCAAUUCAUAUACAUUCAUAUAUAUUUUCAGUCAAACCCAGUAUACAUUCAACACACAUACAGUUCACAAUCACAAUUGAGUCCAGUAGAAAAUCCCUUACCUGGAUCUUUAUGUAAAAUUCCUUAGUCGAACUAACUUCAACAAACAAACCCCAAGAGUAAAGAAUCGAACUCCAACAAAGCUUAAGGAGUAACUCAAGGACACUAACUCGAAAUCACUGAUGUCGCCUUCAAGAACAAAGAUCAAUUCAACCAAUUAAACAACAUCACAUCUUAAUGUAUUUAUAAAUGUAAGACCUUAUUACCCAACAAUCUCAUCCUUACCAAUAACUUAUAACAAGACUUUGACAAUCGACGUUAAAAUAGAAGUUGCCGCAGGAUCUACACAAAAGACAUCGUGCAAAACACUUCUACACGCGAACCAGUCCGCGAUUCGUAAAUGGGACAGCGGGUAUCGACGAAGGCAGAACGGUUCGGACGUUCAACAGCAGUUACGCGCGGACGGGAGUAGCCCGGCAACGUAGCCGAACUCGUGCGAUGCGGCGUGACCUGCAUCGGCGAGGCUGUUCGUGACUGAGGCGUGCGACUUGCCUCGCGAACGGAGAUAGAGACGGCGGCUGGGUUCGGCUUCGACGGAGACAGAACCGGUGAUGGAGACGGCAGAUCAGCGCGCGGGUUGCGGCGGGAAAAAAACGAAAGGGAAAGGAUCGGUGGGAGUCGCGGCGCACGGCGGAAGAAGGAAAUAAGGGCGGCGGUUGCUGGGCUGCGACGCAGAUCUGGACUGGGCACGAACGGAAGGAGAAGAGGACGGUUGGGGCGGUUGCUGCGCGAACGGAGAGAAGGGGAAGGAGGGUCGCGGCGCACGGGAGGAAGAAGAAGAGAGAGAGAGAGAAAAAAAGAGAAAAGAAAAAGAAAGAAAAAAAAUAUAUAUAUAAUAAGAAUUUUUUUUUCUUUUUCUUUUCUUUUCUUUUUUAUUUAAAUUAAUAUUAAAAUAUAUAAAAAUUUAAAAAUAUAUAUAUAUACAUAUAUAUUUUUACCUUUGGGUCUUUACAUUCUUCCCUCCUUAAGAAAUUUUCGUCCUCGAAAGUUUUAAUCCUGAAAUAACUCUGGAUAACGAGUCCUCAUCUCUUCCUCUCGCUCCCAUGUUGCGUCUUCAAUUCGAUGAUUCCGCCACAAAACCUUUACUAAUGGAAUGCUUCUAUUACGAAGCAUCUUUACCUCUCUAGCCAGAAUCUCCAUAGGUUGUUCUACAUAGCUCAAAUGCUCAUUAAUCUCCAAAGGUUCAUAGUCCACUACAUGAGAUGUAUCGGCCACAUACUUCCUCAACAUCGAAACAUGGAAAACAUUAUGAACUGCAGAGAGUGAUGGUGGUAAUGCCAAGCGAUACGCCACAACACCAACCCUCUCUAAGAUCUCAAAUGGUCCAACAAAACGAGGACUUAACUUUCCUUUCUUCUCAAAACGCAUAACACCCUUCAUAGGUGCUACCUUCAAGAAUACCUUUUCUCCCACAUCGAACUUAAGGUCUUUUCGCCGUACAUCUGCAUAACUCUUCUGUCUACUCUGCGCUGUUUGCAUACGCGUUCUAAUCUUUUGAAUAGCCUCAUUAGUAGACCGAACUAAUUCAGGUCCCAUCAAUCUAUGUUCACCAACCUCACUCCAACAAACAGGGGUUCUACAACAUUUGCCAAAGAAAGCCUCAAAUGGUGCCAUACCGAUGGUAGCCUGAAAACUGUUGUUAUAAGCAAACUCCAUCAAAUGUAGAUGAGAGUCCCAACUACCUGGAAACUCUAUAACACAAGCUCGUAGCAUAUCCUCUAAAACUUGGUUCAAACGUUCAGUUUGACCAUCAGUCUGUGGAUGAAAGGCUGUACUGAAAUCCAAUCUCGUACCCAUAGCAGUCUGAAGUCCCUUCCAAAACUUGGAAGUAAACCGUGCAUCCCUAUCAGAAACAAUCGAUACAGACACUCCAUGCAGUCUCACAACCUCAGUUAAAUACAACUGUGCCCACUUACUAGCAGUAAAAGUGGAUUUCCCUGGUACAAAAUGUGCCGAUUUCGUAAGCCUGUCUACAAUAACCCAAAUCACUGUGAAACCCUUCAGGGUUUUAGGCAAUUAUAUAAUAAAAUCCAUAGAUACAUUCUCCCACUUCCACUCUAAUAUACUCAAAGGUUGCAACAAACCUGUUGUUUUCUAUCUUGGUGCUUUAACCUACUAGCACACCAAGCACUUACUAACAAGAUUUUCCAUUUCUCUCUUCAUAUUACGCUAGUAACAAACUCUUUUCAAUUCCGGAUACAUUUUUGUGCUACUUGGAUGCAUGAGAAAUGGGAAACUAUGAGUCUCAACCAAUAACCUUGUCUUAAUUGCAUUUUCUGUUGGCACACACAAUUUUCUUUCAAACAUAAGUUCAUCAUCAAAGGAUAUGGAAAACUCCUUAACUUGCCCUACUUCUACUAGGUGAUGCUUCUCAAUCAAAUAAGGAUCAAUGAAUUGAACCACAAGAAUUCUUUGUCUCAAGGUCGGAUGUACUGACAACUGAGCUAACUUUGAGGUGACUUCCCCCACUGAAACUACAAUCUCAGCUCUCUCGUGGUUUUUGUCUAAUGAAACCUGUCUGGUAAUAAGUGCUGUCAAAAUGUGAUACUUUUCUACGAAGAGCACCAACUUCCACAUUCGCCUUACCUAGAUGGUACAAAAUCUCACAAUCAUAGUCAUUUACUAAUUCAAACCAUCUUUGCUAUCUCAUACUCAACUUCUUUUGAGUGAAGAAGUAUUUUAUACUCUUUUGGUUAGAAAAUAUCUAUAUCUUUUCAUCAUACAUAUAGUGCCUUCAAAUCAUUAAUGUAAAAACCACAACUGUCAAUUCCAUAUCAUAAGUUGGACAAUUUUCCUCAUGACUCUUCAACUGACGAGGAGUACAAGCAACUACUUUAACUUGUUGAAUCAGAAUACCUUUUAAACUUUCCUAAAAGCAUCACUAUAAAUUACGGAACAUUCUGAACCAUCAUGUACGGUAAGCACGGGAGUUGUACAAGCUUCUGCUUAAGAUCCUGAACACUAUCCUCAUAGGCUUUGUCCCAAACAAACAGAGUCCCUUUUCUUAGUUAACUGAGUCAAAGGAGUAGCUAUACGAGAAAAUUCUUAUACAAACCGUUAGUAAUAACCUGCUGAACCCAAAAAGACUACGAACCUCACUGACUAUGAAAAGUUGAGGCCAACUGGUAACGACUUCAAUCUUUUAUGAGAUCCACAUAAAUGUCAUCUCUAGAUACCACAUGGCUUGGAAAGAUACUUGGCCUCAUCCAAAACUCACAUUUUGAAAACUUUGCAUACAAUUUGUUGACUCGAAGAGCCUCUUAAAACCAUGUUAAAUGCUCCUCAUGCGCUGUCUCUAUUUUGGAAUAAAUUAAGAUAUCGUCAAUAAAUACAAUCACGAAAGUGUCUAAGAGAUCGUUAAACACUUUGUUCAUCAAGUCGUAAACAUUGUUUGAGCAUUUGCCCACUCAAAAGACAUCAUAAUGAACUCAUGAUGUCCAUAUCUCGAACGAAAAUCUGCCUUAGGAAUGUCACUGUUCUCUAAUCCUCAACAAGUCAUAACCUGAAUGUAAUUCAAUCUUAAAGAACACGGACUUAUUGCAGUUGAUCAAACAAAUCCUCAUUCAUUGGUAAAAGAUAUUUAUUCUUAACCGACACCUUAUUCAACUUUCUACAAUCAAAACAUAAGUGCAUCGACCCAUCUUUCUUCUUAAUAAACAAAAAUUGGUGCACCCCAAGAUAACAUACUUCGUCGAAUGUAGUCCUUGUCAAACAUUUCUUUCAAUUGCACCUUCAAAUCUUUCAACUCUGUUGGGGCCAUUUUGUAUGAAGCUUUAGAUAUAGGAACGAGUCUAACUCUAUCUCAAUAACAAGACCAAUUUCUGUUUAGCACGGUAAUCUUAGAAACUCUUCUAGAAAAAUAUCAUAAUACUUUUUCACCACUGAUUCAAAUAACAAAGAAACAUCGACUUCUCUGGUGUCUACCACACUAGUCAAAUACAACAGGUACCCUGGUCAAGCAACUUACUAACCUUCAUAGUUGGGAUAACUUUUAGCGAAACGAUAGUUCCAACCUCUUUGUACUUGAAACUAGCCUCUGGAGAAGGAUUAGAAACUACAUUUUCGCUGAACAUUUUAUGUUUACAUGGUUAAACUACAUUCCAAUUUUCAAACUCCAAACUAGUAACUUUUCAUUCACGAGAAACUCAAAAUUGUUUCUUAAAGUCACAUCAAGACAACCAUGCUCAUCUUCCUUGUUUCUUUUCCAAUACCUCCAUUCUAAAACCAUUUAAUGUGUUUCGUAUAAACUUGACCGUGUAUUUAGUCCUCUUUAAAACCACCUACAUAACUUAUUUUUCUUAGAUUUCCAAUCACAAAACAGACAAUUUCGCUAACAACGUCUUACUUUUCUACUACUCGACCACUCCUUUGAACACCUCUACAUGGCAACAUUUUUCCUAAAUUUCACCAUUAAAUCCUUCACCAUUAAAUCAUAACAUUCAUGUAAUUCUAGUUUAACUUAGGCAAGGUCAUAUACAUAAACCAUACAUAUAAGCAUAAAGCAUACCUGACGAGAGACGAAGGGUCGCGUUAGCCAUAGGGACACAAAAACAUAGACUUACAUCGUAAGUCAGUCUACAGAACCUAAAACUUAGGCUUUGAUACCAACUGUAACGACCCAACUUUUCUAGGUAAAUCGAGGUCAUUAAUUUUUAACAAAAGACUUUGAUUGAUACAAAAUGAAACGUAAGUCAAUUUUAAAAACAAAUUAUGUCAGGCCUGAUUUUCAAAUAUUCAAGAAAACAUAAAAAUAACACUAUUUACAAAUAAAAGUUUGUAAACUAAGUUUUUAGUACAUUUUAAACCUCACAAGAACCCAUAAGCGGAGCAAAAACACGUUUCCUAUGGCAUCACGCUUCCUUCCUGCCCCUCGCCUGUUUGCCGCCUUUAUUACCUUUGCCUGAAAAUUAAACAUAAGAAGGGUGAGUAUUUUAAAUACUCAGUAAGAGACCCUCUACUGGUCUCGUCAGGAGAAAAUAAAUUAUUAACGAUCUAUUGGGACACCCUGUACAGUCACAGUCUUGUGAUCCCGUAGGAUACAUAUCUCAGUCUAACGCCCCGAGGGACGUACAUAUCAGUCUAGUGUUCUGCAGAAACACAUAUCAGUCAAAUGCUCCCGAAGGUUCACAAUAAAUUGGUGAUCCCGUGGGACACCUACAAGGUAAACAUCCCAAUACAAUCUAACAAUUUAUCCCCUCAUUCCAUUCAACCCAUCUUUCAGUUACUUCAAGUCACAAAGUUCUUUCUUUCAACAUCCUAACAGUCAACUUAUUUUACUACAGUCAUAUGUCUGUCAAUAAUAUGCUAAUACAUCAGUCAAUCCACUAUACAGUCAAUGCACCCCUCAGUUCACCAGCACAAACCACAGUUCAGUAUAAUCCACAUCCAACCGAAACAAAUUCACUAGUUCACAUCCAAUCUUUAUACAGCACAAUCUAUUAAUAUCAUCAUGUACACAUAAGCAUAAUUUCAGUCAUUCACAUGUAUACUUUUGGCAAUCCACAUCAAUUCACACAUCAAUGUAUAUAUAUAUGUUUCCAGUCAAAUACAACAUACACUAAACAUUUAGUCUGCAAUCAAACAUGUACAUCUUAAUCAUCAUCCAUACAGUCCAACACAACUCAAAAACUUUAGGUGAGUCCAGUAGAAAGUCCCUUACCUGGAUCUUUAUGUAAAAUUCCUUAGUCGAACUACGAACUAACUUCAACAAACAAACCCCAAGAGUAAAGAAUCGAACUCCAACAAAGCUUAAGGCGUAACUCAAGGACACUAACUCCAAAUCACCGAUGUCACCUUCAAGAACAAAGAUCAAUUCAACCAAUUAAACAACAUCACAUCUUAAUGUAUUUACAAAUGUAAGACCUUAUUACCGAACAAUCUCAUCCUUACCAAUAUCUUGUAACAAGACUUUGACAAUCGACGUUAAAUAGAACUUGCCGCAGGAUCUACACAAAAGACAUCGUGCAAAACACUUCUGCACGCGAACCGGUCCGUGAUUCGUAAAUGGGACAGCGGGUAUCGACGAAGGCAGAACGGUUCGGACGUUCAACAGCAGUUACGCGCGGACGGGAGUAGCCCGGCAACGUAGCCGAACUCGUGCGAUGCGGCGUGACCUGCGUCGGCGAGGCUGUUCGUGACUGAGGCGUGCGACUUGCCUCGCGGACGGAGAUAGAGACGGCGGAGACGGUUGCAGAACCGUGGCUUCGACGGAGACAGACUCGGCUGCGACGGCUGGGCAGCGGCGGAAGAGCAACGGCGCCGCAGAUCUGGACCGGAUAGUUACGUGGCGGCUGCUGCAAGGCUGCUUCGCGAACGGAGAUGGAGAACGGAAUGGAGGUCGAGGCGCUCGGCUUUAGUAGGGGAGACGCGGCGGCCGACGGCUGCUGCGAACGGAAGACAAGAAGACGGUGGGGUCGUCGCGGCGCACGGGAGGAAGGAGAAGAGGGGCGGCGGUUGCGGCUGGGCACGAACGAAAGGAGAAGAGGACGGUUGGGGCGGUUGCUGCUGCGCGAACGGAGAGAAGGGGAAGGAGGGUCGCGGCGCACGGGAGGAAGAAAAAGAGAAUUUUCUUUUUCUUUUCUUUUAUUUAAUAAAAAUAUAAUUAUAAAUAUAUAUAUAUAUAUAUAUAUAUAUAUAUUUAUAUAAUUAUAUUAAUACAUUUUCAAAUCUUCUUUCUCUCCUUCAACAUAUUUUUUUAAAAAAAAUAUCUUGAACAAAUCGAAAUAAUUCUCUUAAAAUAAAAUACCUUCAAGUUUAGGGCGUUACAUUCUUCCCUCCUUAAGAAACUUUCGUCCUCGAAAGUUCUAAUCCUUAAAUAACUCUAGAUAACGAGUCAUCAUCUCUUCUUCUCGCUCCCAUGUCGCCUCUUCAAUUCGAUGAUUCUGCCACAAAACCUUUACUAAUGGAAUGCUUCUAUUACGAAGCAUCUUUACCUCUCUAGCCAGAAUCUCCACAGGUUGUUCUACAUAGCUCAAAUGCUCAUCAAUCUCCAAGGGUUCAUAGUCCACUACAUGAGAUGUAUCGGCCACAUACUUCCUCAACAUCGAAACAUGAAAAACAUUAUGAACUGCAGAGAGAGAUGGUGGUAAUGCCAAGCGAUACGCCACAACACCAACCCUCUCUAAGAUCUCAAAUGGUCCAACAAAACGAGGACUUAACUUUCCUUUCUUCUCAAAACGCAUAACACCCUUCAUAGGUGCUACCUUCAAGAAUACCUUUUCUCCCCACAUCGAACUUAAGGUCUUUUCACCGUACAUCUGCAUAACUCUUCUGUCUACUCUGCGCUGUUUGCAUACGCGUUCUAAUCUUUUGAAUAGCCUCAUUAGUAGACCGAACUAAUUCAGGUCCCAUCAACCUAUGUUCACCAACCUCACCCCAACAAACAGGGGUUCUACAACAUUUGCCAUACAAAGCCUCAAAUGGUGUCAUACCGAUGGUAGCCUGGAAACUGUUGUUAUAAGAAAACUCCAUCAAAUGUAGAUGAGAGUCCCAACUACCUGGAAACUCUAUAACACAAGCUCGUAGCAUAUCCUCUAAAACUUGGUUCAAACGUUCAGUUUGACCAUCAGUCUGUGGAUGAAAGGCUGUACUAAAAUCCAAUCUCGUACCCAUAGCAGUCUGAAGUCCCUUCCAAAACUUGGAAGUAAACCGUGCAUCCCUAUCAGAAACAAUCGAUACAGGCACUCCAUGCAGUCUCACAACCUCAGUUAAAUACAACUCUGCCCACUUACUAGCAGUAUAAGUGGAUUUCCCUGGUACAAAAUGUGCCGAUUUCGCAAGCCUGUCUAUGACAACCAGAAUCACUGUGAAACCCUUCAGGGUCUUAGGCAACCCUGAAAUAAAAUCCAUCGACACAUUCUCCCACUUCCACUCUGGCACACUUAAAGGUUGUAACAAACCUGCUGGUUUCUGUCUAGGUGUCUUAACUUGCUGACAUACUAAGCACUUACUAACAAGAUCUUCCAUUUCUCUCUUCAUAUUACGCUAGUAACAAACUCUUUUCAGAUCUGGAUACAUUUUUGUGCUACUUGGAUGCAUGAGAAAUGGCAAACUAUGAGUCUCAACCAAUAACCUUGUCUUAAUUGCAUUUUCUGUUGGCACACACAAUUUUCUUUCAAACAUAAGUUCAUCAUCAAAGGAUAUGGAAAACUCCUUAACUUGCCCUACUUCUACUAGGUGAUGCUUCUCAAUCAAAUAAGGAUCAAUGAAUUGAACCACAAGAAUUCUUUGUCUCAAGGUCGGAUGUACUGACAACUGAGCUAACUUUGAGGUGACUUCCCCCACUGAAACUACAAUCUCAGCUCUCUCGUGGUUUUUGUCUAAUGAAACCUGUCUGGUAAUAAGUGCUGUCAAAAUGUGAUACUUUUCUACGAAGAGCACCAACUUCCACAUUCGCCUUACCUAGAUGGUACAAAAUCUCACAAUCAUAGUCAUUUACUAACUGAAACCAUCUUUGCUAUCUCAUACUCAACUUCUUUUGAGUGAAGAAGUAUUUUAUACUCUUUUGGUUAGAAAAUAUCUAUAUAUUUUCAUCAUACAUAUAGUGCCUUCAAAUCAUUAAUGUAAAAACCACAACUGUCAAUUCCAUAUCAUAAGUUGGACAAUUUUUCUCACGAGGAGUACAAGCAACUACUUUAACUUGUUGAAUAAGAAUACCUUUUAAACUUUCCUAAAAGCAUCACUAUAAAUUACGGAACAUUCUGAACCAUCAUGUACGGUAAGCACGGGAGUUGUACAAGCUUCUGCUUAAGAUCCUGAACACUAUCCUCAUAGGCUUUGUCCCAAACAAACGGAGUCCCUUUUCUUAGUUAACUGAGUCAAAGGAGUAGCUAUACGAGAAAAUUCUUAUACAAACCGUCAGUAAUAACCUGCUGAACCCAAAAAGACUACGAACCUCACUGACUAUGAAAGGUUGAGGCCAACUGGUAACGACUUCAAUCUUUUAUGAGAUCCACAUAAAUGUCAUCUCUAGAUACCACAUGGCUUGGAAAGAUACUUGGCCUCAUCCAAAACUCACAUUUUGAAAACUUUGCAUACAAUUUGUUGACUCGAAGAGCCUCUAAAACCAUGUUAAAUGCUCCUCAUGCGCUGUCUCUAUUUUGGAAUAAAUUAAGAUAUCGUCAAUAAAUACAAUCACGAAAGUGUCUAAGAGAUCGUUAAACACUUUGUUCAUCAAGUCGUAAACAUUGUUUGAGCAUUUGCCAACUCAAAAGACAUCAUAAUGAACUCAUGAUGUCCAUAUCUCGAACGAAAAUCUGCCUUAGGAAUGUCACUGUUCUCUAAUCCUCAACAAGUCAUAACCUGAAUGUAAUUCAAUCUUAAAGAACACGGACUUAUUGCAGUUGAUCAAACAAAUCCUCAUUCAUUGGUAAAAGAUAUUUAUUCUUAACCGACACCUUAUUCAACUUUCUACAAUCAAAACAUAAGUGCAUCGACCCAUCUUUCUUCUUAAUAAACAAAAAUUGGUGCACCCCAAGAUAACAUACUUCGUCAAAUGUAGUCCUUGUCAAACAUUUCUUUCAAUUGCACCUUCAAAUCUUUCAACUCUGUUGGUGCCAUUUUGUAUGAAGCUUUAGAUAUAGGAACGAGUCUAACUCUAUCUCAAUAACAAGACCAAUUUCUGUUUAGCACGGUAAUCUUAGAAACUCUUCUAGAAAAAUAUCAUAAUACUUUUUCACCACUGAUUCAAAUAACAAAGAAACAUCGACUUCUCUGGUGUCUACCACACUAGUCAAAUACAACAGGUACCCUGGUCAAGCAACUUACUAACCUUCAUAGUUGGGAUAACUUUUAGCGAAACGAUAGUUCCAACCUCUUUGUACUUGAAACUAGCCUCUGGAGAAGAAUUAGAAACCACAUUUGCACUGAACAUUUUAUGUUUACAUGGUUAAACUACAUUCCAAUUUUCAAACUCCAAACUAGUAACUUUUCAUUCACGAGAAACUCAAAAUUGUUUCUUAAAGUCACAUCAAGACAACCAUGCUCAUCUUCCUUGUUUCUUUUCCAAUACCUCCAUUCUAAAACCAUUUAAUGUGUUUCGUAUAAACUUGACCGUGUAUUUAGUCCUCUUUAAAACCACCUACAUAACUUAUUUUUCUUAGAUUUCCAAUCACAAAACAGACAAUUUCGCUAACAACGUCUUACUUUUCUACUACUCGACCACCCCUUUGAACACGUCUACAUGGCAACAUUUUUCCUAAAUUUCACCAUUAAAUCCUUCACCAUUAAAUCAUAACAUUCAUGUAAUUCUAGUUUAACUUAGGCAAGGUCAUAUACAUAAACCAUACAUAUAAGCAUAAAGCAUACCUGACGAGAGACGAAGGGUCGCGUUAGCCAUAGGGACACAAAAACAUAGACUUACAUCGUAAGUCAGUCUACAGAACCUAAAACUUAGGCUCUGAUACCAACUGUAACGACCCAACUUUUCUGGGUAAGUCGAGGUCGUUAAUUUUUGAACAAAAGACUUUGGUUGAUACAAAUUGAAACAUAAGUCAAUUUAAAAACAAAACAUGUCAGGCCUGAUUUUCAAAUAUUCAAGAAAACUUAACAAUAACACUAUUUACAAAUAAAAUUUUGUAAACUAAGUUUUAGUACAUCUUAAACCUUAAAAGAAAUCAUAAGCGGAAGCAAAAUAACACAUUCCCUAUGGCAAUCACGCUUCCUUCCUGCCCCUCGCCGGUUUGCCACCUUUAUUUCCUUUGCCUGAAAAUUAAACAUAAGAAGGGUGAGUAUAACAAUACUCAGUAAGAGACCCUCUACUGGUCUCUUCAUGGGAAAAUAAAUUGUUAAAGUUCUAUUGGGACACCUUGUACAGUCGCAGUCUUGUGAUCCCGUAUGAUACACAUUUCAGUCUAACGCCCCGAGGGACGUACAUAUCAGUCUAACGCCCUGAGGGACGUACAUAUCAGUCUAACGCCCCGAGGGACGUACAUAUCAGUCAAGUGUUCUACAGAAACACAUAUCAGUCAAAUGCUCCCGAAGGUGCAAAAUAAAUUGGUGAUCCCGUGGGACACCUACAAGGUAAACAUCCCAAUACAACCUAACAAUUUAUCCCCUCAUUCCAUUCAACCCAUCUUUCAGUUACUUCAAAUCACAAAGUCCUUUCUUUCAACAUCCUAACAGUCAACUUAUUUUACUACAAUCAUAUGUCUGUCAAUAAAAUGCUAAUACAUCAGUCAAUCCACUAUACAGUCAAGUCAAUACACCCCUCAGUUCACCAGCACAAACCACAGUUCAGUAUAAUCCACAUCCAACCGAAACAAAUUCACUAGUUCACAUCCAAUCUUUAUACAGCACAAUCUAUUAAUAUCAUCAUGUACACAUAAGCAUAAUUUCAGUCAUUCACAUGUAUACUUUUGGCAAUCCACAUCAAUUCACACAUCAAUGUAUAUAUAUAUGUUUCCAGUCAAAUACAACAUACACUAAACAUUUAGUCUGCAAUCAAACAUGUACAUCUUAAUCAUCAUCCAUACAGUCCAACACAACUCAAAAACUUUAGGUGAGUCCAGUAGAAAGUCCCUUACCUGGAUCUUUAUGUAAAAUUCCUUAGUCGAACUACGAACUAACUUCAACAAACAAACCCCAAGAGUAAAGAAUCGAACUCCAACAAAGCUUAAGGCGUAACUCAAGGACACUAACUCCAAAUCACCGAUGUCGCCUUCAAGAACAAAGAUCAAUUCAACCAAUUAAACAACAUCACAUCUUAAUGUAUUUACAAAUGUAAGACCUUAUUACCGAACAAUCUCAUCCUUACCAAUAUCUUGUAACAAGACUUUGACAAUCGACGUUAAAUAGAAGUUGCCGUAGGAUCUACACAAAAGACAUCGUGCAAAACACUUCUGCACGCGAACCGGUCCGCGAUUCGUAAAUGGGACAGCGGGUAUCGACGAAGGCAGAACGAUUCGGACGUUCAACAGCAGUUAUGCGCGGACGGGAGUAGCCCGGCAACGUAGCCGAACUCGUGCGAUGCGGCGUGACCUGCAUCGGCGAGGCUGUUCGUGACUGAGGCGUGCAACUUGCCUCGCGGACGGAGAUAGAGACGGCGGAGACGGUUGCAGAACCGUGGCUUCGACGGAGACAGAACCGGCUGCGACGGCUGGGCAGCGGCGGAAGAGCAACGGCGCCGCAGAUCUGGACCGGAUAGUUACGCGGCGGCUGCUGCAAGGCUGCUUCGCGAACGGAGAUGGAGAACGGAAUGGAGGUCGAGGCGCUCGGCUUCAGUAGGGGAGACGCGGCGGCCGACGGCUGCUGCAAACGGAAGAGAAGAAGACGGUGGGGUCGUCGCGGCACACGGGAGGAAGGAGAAGAGGGGCGGCGGUUGCGGCUGGGCACGAACGGAAGGAGAAGAGGACGGUUGGGGCGGUUGCUGCGCGAACGGAGAGAAGGGGAAGGAGGGUCGCGGCGCACGGGAGGAAGAAAAAGAGAAUUUUCUUUUUCUUUUCUUUUAUUUAAUAAAAAUAUAAAAUAUAUAUAUAUAUAAUUAUAUUAAUACAUUUUCAAAUCUUCUUUCUCUCCUUCAACAUAUUUUUUUAAAAAAAAUAUCUUGAACAAAUCGAAAUAAUUCUCUUAAAAUAAAAUACCUUCAAGUUUAGGGCGUUACAGUUCGAUUCGAUUUCUAUUUCAAAAAAACCACAUAAAAUUCGAUUCGGUUCAGUUUAAGAUGUUAAGAACCGAUUCUCAAACCGAACUGAAUUGCUUUAUUUUAAAAACUAAAUAUAUAUAUAUAUAUAUAUAUAUGUUAAUAAUAAGACUUUUUUAGACUUCAAAGCGGGUAUAGAGGCAAAAAUAAAUGAGAGGAACGAAAAGGAGAAGAAUGACAUAAUCAAAACGUAAAUGACAAGUUGUCUUGACGAAGUUUGUAUGACUGUAGGACUUUUAUUCAUCUUAGGUGGAUUUUAAAACUUCUAUGUGUUGUUGGACUUUCAAAUUUCAAUGUUUGAAACAUCUAUGUCUGUAAUUUUGAAAUUUCUAUGUUUAUAACUUUGUAUAAGCCGUUCGGUUUUGAUUUGAUUUUAUUUAUGUAUAUGUGGUUCGGUUUUCAUUCGGUUUGGCAUAGAUGAGCGGUUCGGUUCGGUUUCAAUGAAGAUUUUUUUUAUCAUUUUGCGGUUCGAUGCGGUUUUAGCUUCAAACCGAACCGCGAACAACACUAAUAUGUAAUGUUGAGAUCAACUGAAUAUGUUUGUAAUGUAGGGACUUUGAUGAAAGAAUUAAAGAUUCAGGAAAUUGUAUGAAAAAAAUGGUUGAAUGUUAAAUUGACUUAUGAAUAGUGUAUAUGAAACAAUACAUUAUAUAUUUUAUGAAUGAAAUGUUAUGCAAUCAAUUUGUUAAACUGGUUUAUUUAUUUUAUUUCAAAUAUUUAUUUUAUAUGUAAUAAAUAAUAAGUUAUGUUUGAAACAACAGUAUAAGGAUAUAUCAUAAUAUAUAUUGUUCAUUUAAGGUUAGUAAGAAUUUUAUAUUUUGUAUUUGAAAUAUACUAUGAUAUACUGAGUACAUCAAAGAUGACAUCAUUUAUGUACUAUUGAAAAUAUGAAGUAGUAUAUAUAUGUAACAAAUCACAUAAGAUAUAUGUAUCAUGUACUAGUAUAUACGUCAUUAUUUAUAUAUACACACCUAAUGAAAAAAAGUAGAGUGUGUGGGACCCACGUAUAUAAAUAAUGAGAAAAUAAAAAAUGUUGGCCCAAUGUAAUAUAUAUAUAAAGUAAAAAAUAAACUAUGUAGGGUCCACUGCAUGAAAAUUGUGUAGGGGUACAAAACUUCACCUCAACUCACCUAUUUUUGUCAAUAGUUUUGCAUUCACCUACUUUUGACAUAUGUUUCAAAAUUUACAUUAUUUUUUAAAAAAAGUACUAUACAUAAUAAAUAAUAACUCGUGAUUGAAACAAGAGUGGUUAUGUAUGAAGGAUAGUAUAUUAAAUAUAAUAAAUUGAAAAACUUUGAUUGGUACCGUAGAUGAAAAUUUAUGAAAAAAUAUAGAAAUAAAAUAACUAAAUUAAAAACUGAAAUAUGAAUAUUUCAAAUAAAAGUAUAAAUCAACAUACUAAAAGUUUAAUAAUAAGAAAGAAAAAUUAGUUCAAUAAGUAAAGCUUGCAUCUCUUUCGUUUAUGACAACCACAUUUAAAACUUCAUUUUAGAAUGAAUUCUAAUAUUUUUUUGUUGACCAACUGAACGUUUUACAUUCAAUGGGAUGAUGUCAACUUCAAUUACUGUAUAAUUGAAUAUAUGCAUUAGUGUGUAUGUAACAAAUCAAAUAAAAUACUAAUCGAAUAUAGAAAAAUAUAAAGAAAAUGAUACAAAACGUGAAGGAAAAAAACUGAACUAUAUAUGUGUCACAAAAUACGUGUUAUUAUAUUUAUAUAAAUGUAUAUAUUGAUAACAUCACCUGUCUAUGUAGUGAUAUAUAUUGAAAUUCAACUAUAAAUUAUGUAGAACUAUAUGUCACUAAAUAUUUAUGUUGUAAAUAAGGUGUAUCUAUAUAUUAAAUCACAUCAUAAACAUAUUAUAAUUUACGAGUAUAUUAUAGUAUAUAUUGUUCAUUUAAAAGAUAUAUGACAAAUAGAAGGUAUAUAAUUAUACGAAGUGAGAAUAUGUAUGUAUGAUAUUCUCACUACAUAUUAUAUAUACACUAAGAAUGUGUAUUUUACUGUUUUAGUAGUAUUUACUAUAUAAAUAUAUAUUUUAAAUAUUAAUUAUUAAUGAAUAUAUAGUUUACUACAUGUUGUUACAACAUACUUAAGAUAUAAAUGUUUAUAUGACUAACAACAUAAUAUUACUAUAAGAUAAACAAAAAAAUAAAGAACAGAUUGAAUUGAAAAAUAUUUUCGAUUAUUGUAUGUCACUAUAUAUGUCUGAUUGUAUAUAUCUCUAAGAAAUAUUACAUAAUGAGGUAGUAUAUAUGUAACAAAUCACAUAAUAUAUAUGUAUUAUGGAGUAGUAUAAAUGUAAUUGUUGAGCAAGAAAUUUCAACCAAUGAAAUUACACCACGUCGUCGCACCCAAGUUGUGAUGAUUAUAAUUUGAUUGGAUUUGGGUAGUCAAGUUUUCCAACCCAAUUCAAGCCCCUGAUAAAAAAUCAGGCCAAACAAGGGGCCUAAGCCCACUAAGAAAAUGGGCCCAAGCCCAAGUCCAAGCUCAACAACUCAACAAGCAAAUGGGUCCAAGCCCACAUAAAGUCCACAAAUUUUCUCUAUAAGUAGAGACCUUUGUCAUUCAUUCGAGAGAUCUUUUGUUGAAGGAAGAAAUGAAGCUCUGAAGUAGUGAAGCUUUGAAGAAUUGAAGAUUCAAACUUCUAUAGAGCUCUCAAGACGUGCAAGUUCUGAUCAACUUCGAGAUCAUCAUCUUGUGAAAUAUUGAAGACUUGGAAAAUCAAAAUUUCCUUGAAUUCUAGAAGACUGAAGCUGAAAUAGACCGAACCAUUUAAAUUCAGUUUGGACUAUUUGAGACAGCAACAAACUUUGUUUUUUGUUUUGUACAUAAAUGGUGUGGUUUGAUUCGGUUUUAACAAGCGGUUCAAUUUAUACCGUUUAGACUUGAUCUUAUAUAAUGUGAAAUUAUUUUUUUUUCUUUGAAUUUUUAUCUAAGUGUACUCAAAUUGUAUACCAUGUUACAAAAUUAAUUGCAAUAAAAUUUUUAAAAUUUUCAAAAAUAUAAUAAAUUGACUAAUAUUUUAUACAAAUAUAGAGUAAAAAUGACCAAUUUACUCUUUUUAUUAUUAAUAAUAUAUUAAAAAUAAAAAGAAAAGUGAACCACGUUUAAGAUUUUCAUUUAUUAAAUAUUAUAUGAAAAUAUGGAUUAAAUUCUAUUAAAGUAAUAUUAAUAAUAAAAAUUGUCCUUAGUUUGCUUUUUAUGAUUUUAUUAAAAAAUUGUCCUUUUUUAUUUUGCAUUCUUUUUCAUAUAUUUUAUAUAAUUAUAGUAUAUAUUAAAUAAUAUAAUGUAUAUUUUAUUUGUGAAAUGUUCUUAUAUCAAUUUAUUUAUUUAUUUUAUAUAAAUAUUCAUAUCUUACGUAGUAAAUAAUACAUUAUGUUUGAAAUAAUAUUAAUUAUAUAUGAAAGUUGUUUAUGUUUACAAGAACAUGAAUGAGAAAUAAUUAUGAUGAGUAUAUGUAAUAUAUGUCAUUAAAAUAUUUGUUAUUCUCUAGUAUAUGUAAUAGGGGUGUUCAAAAUGAAGUUGAAAACUGAAUCGAAUCACUAAUCGAACCGAAAUCGAAUGCAUAUGGUUCGGUUCGAUUCGAUUUUUAUUUCAAAAAAACCACAUAAAAUUCGGUUCGGUUCAGUUUAAGAUGUUAAGAACCGAUUCUCAAACCGAACUGAAUUACUUAAUUUUAAAAACUAUAUAUAUAUAUAUAUAUGUUAAUAAUAAGACUUUUUUAGACUUCAAAGCGGGUAUAGAGGCAAAAAUCAAUGAGAGGAACGAAAAGGAGAAGAAUGACAUAAUCAAAACGUAAAUGACAAGUUGUCUUGACGAAGUUUGCAUGACUGUAGGACUUUUAUUCAUCUUAGGUGGAUUUUAAAACUUCUAUGUGUUGUUGGACUUUCAAAUUUCAAUGUUUGAAACAUCUAUGUCUGUAAUUUUGAAAUUUCUAUGUUUAUAACUUUGUAUAAGCCGUUCGGUUUUGAUUUGAUUUUAUUUAUGUAUAUGUGGUUCGGUUUUCAUUCAGUUUGGCAUAGAUGAGCAGUUCGGUUCGGUUUCAAUGAAGAUUUUUUUUAUCAUUUUGCGGUUCGAUGCGGUUUUAGCUUCAAACCGAACCGCGAACAUCACUAAUAUGUUGUAACGACCCAACUUUUCUAAGUACGUCGAGAUCGUUAAUUUUUAACAAAUAAAGACUUUGAUUAAUAUAAAACAAAACGUAAGCAAUUUAAAACAAAACAUCUUCAAGUCAGGCCUGAUUUUUAAACAUUCAAGAAAACAUAAAAUAAUACUAUUUACAACCAACGUUUGUAAACUAAAUUUCAAUUCAUUUUAAACCUCACAAGAACCCAUAAGCGGAAGCAAAAACACGUUUCCUAUGGCAUCACGCUUCCUUCCUGCCCCUCGCCUGUUUGCCGCCUUUAUUACCUUUGCUGAAAAUUAAACAUAAGAAGGGUGAGUAUAACAAUACUCAGUAAGAGACCUUCUACUGGUCUCGUCAGGGGAAAAUAAAUUGUUAAAGUUCUAUUGGGACACCCUGUACAGUCGCAGUCUUGUGAUCCCGUAGGAUACACAUCUCAGUCUAACGCCCCGAGGGACGUACAUAUCAGUCUAACGCCCCGAGGGACGUACAUAUCAGUCUAACGCCCCGAGGGACGUACAUAUCAGUCUAGUGUUCUGCAGAAACACAUAUCAGUCAAAUGCUCCCGAAGGUGCAAAAUAAAUUGGUGAUCCCGUGGGACACCUACAAGGUAAACAUCCCAAUACAAUCUAACAAUUUAUCCCCUCAUUCCAUUCAAUCCAUCUUUCAGUUACUUCAAAACAUAGAGUUCUUUCUCUCAACGUCCAAACAGUCAACUUAUCUCACUUUAGUCAUAUGUCUGUCAAUAAUAUACUUAUACGUCAGUCAAUCAAACUAUACAGUCAAUACACCCCUCAGAUCACCAGCACACAGUCAUACUUUAGCGUAACGUACACCCAAUCUAAACGACAAUCACAAGAUCGCAUCUGCAUCUCAUACAAGCACAAUCUACAACAUCACCUGUCUAUGUAGUGAUAUAUAUUGAAAUUCAACUAUAAAUUAUGUAGAACUAUAUGUCACUAAAUAUUUAUGUUGUAAAUAAGGUGUAUCUAUAUAUUAAAUCACAUCAUAAACAUAUUAUAAUUUACGAGUAUAUUAUAGUAUAUAUUGUUCAUUUAAAAAAUAUAUGACAAAUAGAAGGUAUAUAAUUAUACGAAGUGAGAAUAUGUAUGUAUGAUAUUCUCACUACAUAUUAUAUAUACACUAAGAAUGUGUAUUUUACUGUUUUAGUAGUAUUUACUAUAUAAAUAUAUAUUUUAAAUAUUAAUUAUUAAUGAAUAUAUAUGUAACGACCCAACUUUUCUAGGUAAGUCGAGGUCAUUAAUUUUUAACAAAAGACUUUGGUUGAUACAAAAUGAAACGUAAGUCAAUUUAAAAACAAUUUAUGUCAGGCCCGAUUUUCAAAUAUUCAAGAAAACUUAAAAAUAACACUAUUUACAAAUAAAAGUUUGUAAACUAAGUUUUAGUACAUCUUAAACCUCAAAAGAAACCAUAAGCGGAAGCAAAAUGACACAUUUCCUAUGACAAUCACGCUUCCUUCCUGCCCCUCGCCGGUUUGCCACCUUUAUUUCCUUUGCCUGAAAAUUAAACAUAAGAAGGGUGAGUAUAACAAUACUCAGUAAGAGACCCUCUACUGGUCUCGUCAGGGGAAAAUAAAUUGUUAAAGUUCUAUUGGGACACCCUGUACAGUCGCAGCUUGUGAUCCCGUAGGAUACACAUCUCAGUCUAACGCCCCGAGGGACGUACAUAUCAGUCUAACGCCCCGAGGGACGUACAUAUCAGUCUAACGCCCCGAGGGACGUUCAUAUCAGUCUAGUGUUCUGCAGAAACAUAUAUCAGUCAAAUGCUCCCGAAGGUGCAAAAUAAAUUGGUGAUCCCGUGGGACACCUACAAGGUAAACAUCCCAAUACAACCUAACAAUUUAUCCCCUCAUUCCAUUCAAUCCAUCUUUCAGUUACUUCAAAACAUAAAGUUCUUUCUCUCGACGUCCUAACAGUCAACUUAUCUCACUUUAGUCAUAUGUCUGUCAAUAAUAUACUAAUACGUCAGUCAAUCAAACUAUACAGUCAAUACACCCCUCAGUUCACCAGCACAAACCACAUUUGAGUACAAUCCACAUCCAACCGAAACAAAUUCACUAGUUCACAUCCAAAUCUUUAUACAGCACAAUCUAUUAAUAUCAUCAUGUACACAUAAGCAUAAUUUCAGUCAUUCACAUGUAUACUUUCGGCAAUCCACAUCAAUUCACACAUCAAUGUAUAUAUAUAUGUUUCUAGUCAAAUACAACAUACACUAAACAUUUAGUCUGCAAUCAAACAUGUACAUCUUAAUCAUCAUCCAUAUAGUCCAACACAACUCAAAAACUUUAGGUGAGUCCAGUAGAAAGUCCCUUACCUCAAAGUUGGGGAAACUCCUUAAUCAACUAACGUCCUCGAAACAAUCCUAAGCACAACAACACAAAAUUCAAUUACUUUCACGAUACAUAUCUCACUUACUUUCCUCAACGUAAGUUCCAACUCACCGAUAUACUGGCGAACUGAACCCUCAACAAUUCACAAAUUGAUUGUGAAUUUAAGGGAGCCCAACGUUACUCCCAACACCUCAACGCACGACUGUCGAACUCGCAGCAAAAAUCCUAAGUGUGGGUCGGUCAGCGGUCGGCCAAAUGAGAUGUGGCGGCUGGGCUUCACGGAUGGAGACCGUCGCGGACAGACCGCGAAUCUGAAUGGUUACAGCAAUUCUGAACGGUUACAGCAAAUCUGAACGGUUACAGCAACUAGUCGGCCGACGUGGAUAGCAGGUGGAGCGGCAGUUGUGAGCGGGGAGCGUGGCGGUUACUGGUUCACGCGGCGGCCUUGGCUUCGACAGAGACAGAACCGGCUGAGACGGCUGGGCAGCGGCGGAAGAGCAACGGCUGCAGCGGCGGAAGGUCUUGCGGUACAGAUCUAGACGGCGGCCGCAAGGUGACGCGUACGGCUGCCUCGCGAACUGGCCGAUGGUUGCAGCGACGUCCGGCUGGGUUUGGACGGAACGGAGAGGAGAAGAGAAGAUGGAGAUGGCCGGCGACGGUUGCUGUGCGAACGGAUGGAGCGGCUGGGCUGCGGCGGGAAGAAAACGGAGGAGAAAGGAUCGGCGGCUGGGCUGCGGCUGCGCACGAACGGAAGGAGAAGAGGAAUGGAGGUCGGCCGGUGGCGGUUGCUGCGCUGCGAACGGGGAGAGGGGAAGGGCGCACGGCGCACGGGAGGAGAAGAGAAGAGAAAAGAAAAAGAAAAAGAAAAAGAAAAAAGAAAAAAAAAUAAUAAAAAAUUUCUUUAUUAUUAUUAUUAUUUUUUUUUAAAUUAAUAAAAAUAAUAUAUAUACCUUUCCUUCUUUUCCUCUUUUUCUUCCUCUCUUCUUGGGGCAUUACAUUCUUCCCUCGUUAAGAAACUUUCGUCCUCGAAAGUUUUAAUCUUGAAAUAACUCUGGAUAACGAGUCCUCAUCUCUUCCUCUCGCUCCCAUGUCGCCUCUUCAAUUCGAUGAUUCCGCCACAAAACCUUUACUAAUGGAAUGCUUCUAUUACGAAGCAUCUUCACCUCUCUAGCCAGAAUCUCCACAGGUUGUUCUACAUAGCUCAAAUGCUCAUCAAUCUCCAAGGGUUCAUAGUCUACUACAUGAGAUGUAUCGACCACAUAUUUCCUCAACAUCGAAACAUGGAAAACAUUAUGGACUGCAGAGAGUGGUGGUGGUAACGCCAAGCGAUACGCCACAACACCAACCCUCUCUAAGAUCUCAAAUGGUUCAACAAAUCGAGGACUUAACUUCCCUUUCUUCUCAAAACGCAUAACACCCUUCAUUGGUGCUACCUUCAAGAAUAUCUUUUCUCCCACAUCAAACUUAAGGUCUUUUCGCCGUACAUCCGCAUAACUCUUCUGUCUACUUUGCGCUGUUUGCAUACGCGUUCUAAUCUUUUGAAUAGCCUCAUUAGUAGACCGAACUAAUUCAGGUCCCAUCAACCUAUGUUCACCAACCUCACUCCAACAAACAGGGGUUCUACAACAUUUGCCAAAGAAAGCCUCAAAUGGUGUCAUACCGAUGGUAGCCUGAAAACUGUUGUUAUAAGCAAACUCCAUCAAAUGUAGAUGAGAGUCCCAACUACCUGGAAACUCUAUAACACAAGCUCGUAGCAUAUCCUCUAAAACUUGGUUCAAAUGUUCAGUUUGACCAUCAGUCUGUGGAUGAAAGGCUGUACUAAAAUCCAAUCUCGUACCCAUAGCAGCCUGAAGUCCCUUCCAAAACUUGGAAGUAAACCGUGCAUCCCUAUCAGAAACAAUCGAUACAGGUACUCCAUGCAGUCUCACAAUCUCAGUUAAAUACAACUAUGCCCACUUACUAGCAGUAUAAGUGGAUUUUCCUGGUACAAAAUGUGCCGAUUUCGUAAGUCUGACUAUGACAACCAAAAUCACUGUGAAACCCUUCAGGGUCUUAGGCAGCCCUAAAAUAAAAUCCAUCGACACAUUCUCCCACUUCCACUCUGGCACACUUAAGGGUUGUAACAAACCUGCUGGUUUCUGUCUAGGUGCCUUAACCUGCUAGCACACCAAGCACUUACUAACAAUAUCUUCCACUUCUCUCUUCAUAUUACGCUAGUAACAAACUUUUUUCAGAUCCGGAUACAUUUUUGUGCUACUUGGAUGCAUGAGAAAUGGGAAACUAUGAGUCUCAACCAAUAACCUUGUCUUAAUUGCAUUUUCUGUUGGCACACAUAAACGUCUCUCAAACAUCAACCCACCAUCAGAGGAUAUGGAGAACUCAUCAGUCUGCCCUGUUUCAACAAGGCAACGUCUCUCCAUCAAAUAAGGAUCAUUACUCUGAGCAUCAACAAUCUUGUGCCUCAGAAUCGGUUGCACCGUUAAUUGAGCUAGCUGUGAGGUGACUCUCCCCACAGACACUGCAAUCUCAGCUCUCUCCAAGUCUGGAUGCAAUGGUACCUGUCUAGUAAUGAGUGCUGCCGAAUGUGAUACUUUUCUACUAAGAGCAUCAGCCCCCACAUUCGCCUUACCAGGAUGGUACAAUAUCUCACAGUCAUAAUCUUUUACCAACUCGAGCCACCUUCGCUGUCUCAUAUUCAACUCCUUCUGAGUGAAGAAAUACUUUAGGCUCUUAUGGUCAGUAAAGAUUUCUAUCUUUUCACCGUACAAAUAAUGUCUCCAUAUCUUCAAUGCAAAAACCACUGCUGCCAACUCCAAAUCAUGUGUGGGGUAGUUCUGCUCGUGACUCUUCAACUGACGAGAGGCAUAAGCAACUACUUUAACUUGUUGAAUCAUAAUACCUUUUAAACUUUCCUAAAAGCAUCACUAUAAAUUACGAAACUUUCUGAACCAUCAUGUACGGUAAGCACGGGAGUUGUACAAGCUUCGGCUUAAGAUCCUGAACACUAUCCUCAUAGGCUUUGUCCCAAACAAACGGAGUCCCUUUUCUUAGUUAACUGAGUCAAAGGAGUAGCUAUACGAGAAAAUUCUUAUACAAACCGUUAGUAAUAACCUGCUAAACCCAAAAAGACUAUGAACCUCACUGACUAUGAAAAGUCGAGGCCAACUAGUAACAACUUCAAUCUUUUGUGAGAUCCACAUAAAUGUCACCUCUAGAUACCACAUGGCUUGGAAAGAUACUUGGCCUCAUCCAAAACUCACAUUUUGAAAACUUUGCAUACAAUUCGUUGACUCGAAGAGCCUCUAAAACCAUGUUAAAUGCUCCUCAUGCGCUGUCUCUAUUUUGGAAUAAAUUAAGAUAUCGUCAAUAAAUACUAUCACGAAAGUGUCUAAGAGAUCGUUAAACACUUUGUUCAUCAAGUCGUAAACAUUGUUUGAGCAUUUGCCAACUCAAAAGACAUCAUAAUGAACUCAUGAUGUCCAUAUCUCGAACGAAAAUCUGCCUUAGGAAUGUCACUGUUCUCUAAUCCUCAACAAGUCAUAACCUGAAUGUAAUUCAAUCUUAAAGAACACGGACUUAUUGCAGUUGAUCAAACAAAUCCUCAUUCAUUGGUAAAAGAUAUUUAUUCUUAACCGACACCUUAUUCAACUUUCUACAAUCAAAACAUAAGUGCAUCGACCCAUCUUUCUUCUUAAUAAACAAAAAUUGGUGCACCCCAAGAUAACAUACUUCGUCAAAUGUAGUCCUUGUCAAACAUUUCUUUCAAUUGCACCUUCAAAUCUUUCAACUCUGUUGGUGCCAUUUUGUAUGAAGCUUUAGAUAUAGGAACGAGUCUAACUCUAUCUCAAUAACAAGACCAAUUUCUGUUUAGCACGGUAAUCUUAGAAACUCUUCUAGAAAAAUAUCAUAAUACUUUUUCACCACUGAUUCAAAUAACAAAGAAACAUCGACUUCUCUGGUGUCUACCACACUAGUCAAAUACAACAGGUACCCUGGUCAAGCAACUUACUUACCUUCAUAGCUGGGAUAACUUUUAGCAAAACGAUAGUUCCAACCUCUUUGUACUUGAAACUAGCCUCUAGAGAAGGAUUAGAAACUUCAUUUUCGCUGAACAUUUUAUGUUUACAUGGUUAAACUACAUUCCAAUUUUCAAACUCCAAACUAGUAACUUUUCAUUCACGAGAAACUCAAAAUUGUUUCUUAAAGUCACAUCAAGACAACCAUGCUCAUCUUCCUUGUUUCUUUUCCAAUACCUCCAUUCUAAAACCAUUUAAUGUGUUUCGUAUAAACUUGACCGUGUAUUUAGUCCUCGUUAAAACCACCUACAGAACUUAUUUUUCUUAGAUUUCCAAUCACAAAACAGACAAUUUCGCUAACAACGUCUUACUUUUCUACUACUCGACCACUCCUUUGAACACCUCUACAUGGCAACAUUUUUCCUAAAUUUCACCAUUAAAUCCUUCACCAUUAAAUCAUAACAUUCAUGUAAUUCUAGUUUAACUUAGGCAAGGUCAUAUACAUAAACCAUACAUAUAAGCAUAAAGCAUAACUAACGCGACCCUGACCUCGACUUACCUAGAAAAGUUGGGUCGUUACAAUAUAGUUUACUACAUGUUGUUACAACAUACUUAAGAUAUAAAUGUUUAUAUGACUAACAACAUAAUAUUACUAUAAGAUAAACAAAAAAAUAAAGAACAGAUUGAAUUGAAAAAUAUUUUCGAUUAUUGUAUGUCACUAUAUAUGUCUGCUGUAUAUAUAUCUCUAAGCAAUAUUACAUAAUGAGGUAGUAUAUAUGUAACAAAUCACAUAAUAUAUAUGUAUUAUGGAGUAGUAUAAAUGUAAUUGUUGAGCAAGAAAUUUCAACCAAUGAAAUUACACCACGUCGUCGCACCCAAGUUGUGAUGAUUAUAAUUUGAUUGGAUUUGGGUAGUCAAGUUUUCCAACCCAAUUCAAGCCCCUGAUAAAAAAUCAGGCCAAACAAAGGGGCCUAAGCCCACUAAGAAAAUGGGCCCAAGCCCAAGUCCAAGUCCAAGCUCAACAACUCAACAAGCAAAUGGGUCUAAGCCCACAUAAAGUCCACAAAUUUUCUCUAUAAGUAGAGACCUUUGUCAUUCAUUCGAGAGAUCUUUUGUUGAAGGAAGAAAUGAAGCUCUGAAGUACUGAAGCUUUGAAGAAUUGAAGAUUCAAACUUCUAUAGAGCUCUCAAGACGUGCAAGUUCUUAUCAACUUCGAGAUCAUCAUCUUCUGAAAUAUUAUAUAUACAUAAUAUAUAAAUAAGAAAGAAAAAUUAGUUUAAUAAGGAAACCUUGCAUCUCUUUCGUUUAUGACAACCACAUUUAAAACUUCAUUUUAGAAUGAAUUCUAAUAUUUUUUUUGUUGACCAACUGAACGUUUUACAUUCAAUGGGAUGAUGUCAACUUCAAUUACUGUAUUAUUGAAUAUAUGCAUUAGUAUGUAUGUAACAAAUCAAAUAAAAUACUAAUCGAAUAUAGAAAAAUAUAAAGAAAAUGAUACAAAACGUGAAGGAAAAAAACUGAACUGUAUAUGUGUCACAAAAUACGUGUUAUUAUAUUUAUAUAAAUGUAUAUAUUGAUAACAUCACCUGUCUAUGUAGUGAUAUAUAUUGAAAUUCAACUAUAAAAUUAUGUAGAACUAUGUGUCACUAAAUAUUUAUGUUGUAAAUAAGGUGUAUCUAUAUAUUAAAUCACAUCAUAAACAUAUUAUAAUUUACGAGUAUAUUAUAGUAUAUAUUGUUCAUUUAAAAAAUAUAUGACAAAUAGAAGGUAUAUAAUUAUACGAAGUGAGAAUAUGUAUGUAUGAUGUUCUCACUGCAUAUUAUAUAUACACUAAGAAUGUGUAUUUUACUGUUUUAGUAGUAUUUACUAUAUAAAUAUAUAUUUUAAAUAUUAAUUAUUAAUGAAUAUAUAUGUAACGACCCAACUUUUCUAAGUAAGUCGAGAUCGUUAAUUUUUAACAAAUAAAGACUUUGAUUAAUAUAAAACAAAACGUAAACAAUUAAAAAAAAACAUCUUCAAGUCAGGCCUGAUUUUUAAACAUUCAAGAAAACAUAAAAUAGUACUAUUUACAACAAACGUUUGUAAACUAAAUUUCAAUUCAUUUUAAACCUCACAAGAACCCAUAAGCGGAGCAAAAACACGUUUCCUAAGGCAUCACGCUUCCUUCCUGCCCCUCGCCUGUUUGCCGCCUUUAUUACCUUUGCCUGAAAAUUAAACAUAAGAAGGGUGAGUAUUUUAAAUACUCAGUAAGAGACCCUCUACUGGUCCCGUCAGGAGAAAAUAAAUUAUUAACGAUCUAUUGGGACACCCUGUACAGUCACAUUCUUGUGAUCCCGUAGGUUACACAUCUUAGUCUAACGCCCCGAUGGACGUACAUAUCAGUCUAGUGUUCUGCAGAAACACAUAUCAGUCUAAUGCUCCCGAAGGUGCAAAAUAAAUUGGUGAUCCCGUGGGACACCUACAAGGUACACAUCCCAAUAAAUCUAACAAUUUUCCCCUCAUUCCAUUCAAUCCAUCCUUCAGUUGCUUCAAAACAUAAAAUUUUUUCUCUCAACGUCCUAACAGUCAACUUACUUUACUUUAGUCAUCUGUCCGUCAAUAAUAUACUAAUACGUCAGUCAAUCAACUAUACAGUCAAUACACCCCUCAGUUCACCAGCACACAAUCAUACUUUAGCGUAAUCGUACACCCAAUCUAAACGAGAAUCACAAGUUCAUAUCUACAUCUCAUACCAACACAAUCUACAAUCUUCGUCAUGUCCACAUACACACACUUAUAUAUAUUUUCCAUGACAUUCACGAUAUACAUUCGACAUUAUGUCUACUUCAAUUCACAUGCAUUCAUAUAUAUUUUCAGUCAAACCACAGUAUACAUUCAACACACAUACAGUUCACAAUCACAAUUGAGCCCAAUAGAAAAUCCCUUACCUGAAAGUUAGGGAAGCUCCUUAAUCAACUAACGUCCUCGAAACAAUCCUAAGCAUAACAACAUAAAAUUCAAUUACUUUCACGAUACAUAUCCCACUUAUUUUCCUCAACGUAAGUUUCAACUCACCGAUAUAAUGGCGAACUGAACCUUCAACAAUUCACAAUCUGGUUGUGAAUGUAAGGGAGCCUAACGUUACUCCCAACACCUCAACGCACGACUCGAACUCGCAGCAAAAUCCUAAGUGUGGGUCGGUUAGCGGUCGGCCAAAGGGAACGUGGCGGCUGGGCUUCACAGAUGGAGACCGUCGCGAACAGACCGCGAAUCUGAACGGUUACAGCAAAUCUGAACGGUUACAGCAACUAGUCGGCCGACGUCGAUAGCAGGUGGAGCGGCGGUUGUGAGCGGGGAGCGUGGUCGACGGAGACAGAAUCGGCGAUGGAGACGGCAGAUUGGCGCGCGGGACGACUGCUGCAAGGUUGCUUCGCGAACCGGAGAUGGCGGCCGACGGUUGCAGACGGAGAGGCUGCAGCGGCAGCUGGGUAUAGUAGAAAAGAAAGAGAAACGGAAGAAGAGAAAUUUGGGGUGGCCGGCCGUAGAAAACGAAAAGAAAAGAGGAAGAAAAAAGAAGAAAGAAAAGAGAAAGGAAAAGAGAAGGAAGAAAAGAGAUGGUUGUGGUUGUAGGUUGAACAGGAAGAGAAAGGAAGAAGAUGAAUAGGAAAAGAGAAAAAUAAAAUAAAAUAUUAUAAGUAUAUUUUUUUCUUUCUUUUAUUAUUAUUCUUUUUUCUUUUUUUUCUUAAAAUAGAAUUAUUAAUAAUAAUAAUAUAAUUAUAAUAUAUUAUUAUUACUUUUCUGUUUCCUUUACUUUUCCUCUUCCCAAAACAAACAUUCUCUCUCUUCAUUAAAUACUAUCAAUUCCAACUUUUUAUCCCUUCUUUAAAAUAACAAAAUUUUAGAUUAUUCAAACUAAUUAUAUUAUUUCCAAUAAUAUAAUUUUCUCAUCCUUCCAUAACAUCAAACACAUAUAUCUAUACUCAAAAUCCUAAAAUAAAUUACCAAGAUCAUUCUCUUUUAUUCAUCCAUAACAAUAUAAAAAAAAUCAAUUUUCAUAAUUAAUUAGAUAUUCUUUCAUAAAUAUUCAAUUAAUUAUAAUCUUCACAAAACAAACAAAUCUCUUAAUUUAUCUAAAAUAACACCCAAAUAAUUCCAACUUAAAUUCAAUUCCAUUAAGAUAAAUUAAAUUUAAAAUUACCUUAAAUUUUGGGAUGUUACAAUCUUCCCUCCUUUUAGAAACUUUCAUCCUCGAAAGUACUAAUCCUCAAUAACUCUAUAAUAUCCCUGGGUAAUGAGCUCUCAUAUCAUCUUCUCGUUCUCAUGUCGCUUCUUUAACUCGAUGAUUCUGCCACAAUACUUUUACUAAUGAAAUUCCUCUAUUACGAAGCAUCAUCACUUCUCUAACCAGAAUCUCAACUGGUUGCACCACAUAGCUCAAAUUCUCGUCAAUCUCUAGUGGUUCAUAGUCCACUACAUGAGAUGGAUCUGCCACAUACUUUCUCAACAUCGAAACAUGGAAAACAUUAUGAAUUGCAGAGAGAAAUGGAGAGAGAAAUGGUGGUAAUGCUAAACGAUAUGCCACAACACCAAUUCUCUUUAAAAUCUCAAACGGUCCAACAAAACGAGGAUUUAACUUCCCUUUCUUCUCAAAAUGCAUAACAUCCUUCAUAGUUGCUACCUGCAAGAACACCUUAUCUCCCACAUCAAACUCAAGGUUCUUUCACCUCAGAUCUGCAUAACUUUUUUUUUUUUCUACUUUGCGUUGUUUGCGUACGUACUCUAAUAUUCUGAAUAAACUCAUUAGUAGACUAAACCAACUCAUAACCCAUCAAUCUCUGUUCACCAACCUCAUUCCAACAAACAGAAGUUCUACAACAUUUACCAUACAAAGCUUCAAACGGUGUCAUGCCAAUGGUAACCUGAAAACUGUUAUUAUAAGCAAACUCCAUCAAAUGUAAGUGAGAGUCCCAACUACCUGGAAACUCUAGAACACAAGCUCGUAGCAUAUCCUCUAAAACUUGGUUCAAACGUUCAGUUUGGCCAUCAGUCUGUGGGUGAAAGGUUGUACUAGAAAUCUAACCUCGUUCCCAUGGCAGUCUAAAGUCCCUUCCAAAACUUGGAAGUAAAAAGUGCAUCUCGUUAGAGACAAUAAUACGGGCACUCCAUGUAGUCUCACAAUCUCAAUCAAAUAUAAUUAUGCUCAUUUACUAGUAGUAUAAGUGGAUUUUUUUUUUUUUAAAUGAAAUGUGUCGAUUUCGUAAGCCUAUCGACAAUAACCCAAAUCACUGUGUAACCCUUCAGGGUUUUAGGCAAUUAUAUAAUAAAAUCCAUAGAUACAUUCUCCCACUUCCACUCUAAUAUACUCAAAGGUUGCAACAAACCUGUUGGUUUCUAUCUUGGUGCUUUAACCUGCUAGCACACCAAGCACUUACUAACAAGAUCUUCCAUUUCUCUCUUCAUAUUACGCUAGUAACAAACUCUUUUCAGAUCCGGAUACAUUUUUGUGCUACUUGGAUGCAUGAGAAAUGGGAAACUAUGAGUCUCAACCAAUAACCUUGUCUUAAUUGCAUUUUCUGUUGGCUCACAUAAUUCUCUCUCAAACAUAAGUUCAUCAUCAAAGGAUAUGGAAAACUCCUUAACUUGCCCUACUUCUACUAGGCAAUGCUUCUCAAUCAAAUAAGGAUCAAUGAAUUGAACCACAAGAAUUCUUUGUCUCAAGAUCGGAUGUACUGACAACUGAGCUAACUGUGAGGUGACUUCCCCCACUAAAACUACAAUCUCAGCUCUCUCGUGGUUUUUGUCUAAUGAAACCUGUCUGGUAAUAAGUGCUGUCAAAAUGUGAUACUUUUCUACAAAGAGCACCAACUUCCACAUUCGCCUUACCUAAAUGGUACAAAAUCUCACAAUCAUAGUCAUUUACUAACUGAAACCAUCUUUGCUAUCUCAUACUCAACUUCUUUUGAGUGAAAAAGUAUUUUAUACUCUUUUGGUUAGAAAAUAUCUAUAUCUUUUCAUCAUGAAUAUAUAGUGCCUUCAAAUCAUUAAUGUAAAAACCACAACUGUCAAUUUCAUAUCAUAAGUUGGACAAUUUUCCUCAUGACUCUUCAACUGACGAGGAGUACAAGCAACUACUUUAACUUGUUGAAUCAUAAUACCUUUUAAACUUUCCUAAAAGCAUCACUAUAAAUUACGAAACUUUCUGAACCAUCAUGUACGGUAAGCACGGGAGUUGUACAAGCUUCUGCUUAAGAUCCUGAACACUAUCCUCAUAGGCUUUGUCCCAAACAAACAGAGUCCCUUUUCUUAGUUAACUGAGUCAAAUGAGUAGCUAUACGAGAAAAUUCUUAUACAAACCGUUAGUAAUAACCUGCUGAACCCAAAAAGACUACGAACCUCACUGACUAUGAAAGGUUGAGGCCAACUGGUAACGACUUCAAUCUUUUAUGAGAUCCACAUAAAUGUCAUCUCUAGAUACCACAUGGCUUGGAAAGAUACUUGGCCUCAUCCAAAACUCACAUUUUGAAAACUUUGCAUACAAUUUGUUGACUCGAAGAGCCUCUAAAACCAUGUUAAAUGCUCCUCAUGCGCUGUCUCUAUUUUGGAAUAAAUUAAGAUAUCGUCAAUAGAUACAAUCACGAAAGUGUCUAAGAGAUCGUUAAACACUUUGUUCAUCAAGUCGUAAACAUUGUUUGAGCAUUUGCCAACUCAAAAGACAUCAUAAUGAACUCAUGAUGUCCAUAUCACGAACGAAAAUCUGCCAUAGGAAUGUCACUGUUCUCUAAUCCUCAACAAGUCAUAACUUUAAUGUAAUUCAAUCUUAAAGAACACGGAAUUAUUGCAGUUGAUCAAACAAAUCCUCAUUCAUUGGUAAAAGAUAUUUAUUCUUAACCGACACCUUAUUCAACUUUCUACAAUCAAAACAUAAGUGCAUCGACCCAUCUUUCUUCUUAAUAAACAAAAAUUGGUGCAUCCCAAGAUAACAUACUUCGUCGAAUGUAGUCCUUGUCAAACAUUUCUUUCAAUUGCACCUUCAAAUCUUUCAACUCUGUUGGGGCCAUUUUGUAUGAAGCUUUAGAUAUAGGAACGAGUCUAACUCUAUCUCAAUAGCAAGACCAAUUUCUGUUUAGCGCGGUAAUCUUAGAAACUCUUCUAGAAAAAUAUCAUAAUACUUUUUCACCACUGAUUCAAAUAACAAAGAAACAUCGACUUCUCUGGUGUCUACCACACUAGUCAAAUACAACAAGUACCCUGGUCAAGCAACUUACUAACCUUCAUAGUUGGGAUAACUUUUAGCGAAACGAUAGUUCCAACCUCUUUGUACUUGAAACUAGCCUCUGGAGAAGGAUUAGAAACUACAUUUUUGCUGAACAUUUUAUGUUCACAUGGUUAAACUACAUUCCAAUUUUCAAACUCCAAACUAGUAACUUUUCAUUCACGAGAAACUCAAAAUUGUUUCUUAAAGUCACAUCAAGACAACCAUGCUCAUCUUCCUUGUUUCUUUUCCAAUACCUCCAUUCUAAAACCAUUUAAUGUGUUUCGUAUAAACUUGACCGUGUAUUUAGUCCUCGUUAAAACCACCUACAUAACUUAUUUUUCUUAGAUUUCCAAUCACAAAACAGACAAUUUCGCUAACAACGUCUUACUUUUCUACUACUCGACCACUCCUUUGAACACCUCUACAUGACAACAUUUUUCCUAAAUUUCACCAUUAAAUCUGUCACCAUUAAAUCAUAACAUUCAUGUAAUUCUAGUUUAACUUAGGCAAGGUCAUAUACAUAAACCAUACAUAUAAGCAUAAAGCAUACCUGACGAGAGACGAAGGGUCGCGUUAGCCAUAGGGACACAAAAACAUAGACUUACAUCGUAAGUCAGUCUACAGAACCUAAAACUUAGGCUCUGAUACCAACUGUAACGACCCAACUUUUCUAAGUAAGUCGAGAUCGUUAAUUUUUAACAAAUAAAGACUUUAAUUAAUAUAAAACAAAACGUAAACAAUUAAAAAAAAAACAUCUUCAAGUCAGGCCUGAUUUUUAAACAUUCAAGAAAACAUAAAAUAGUACUAUUUACAACAAACGUUUGUAAACUAAAUUUCAAUUCAUUUUAAACCUCACAAGAACCCAUAAGCGGAAGCAAAAACACGUUUUCUAUGGCAUCACGCUUCCUUCCUGCCCCUCGCCUGUUUGCCGCCUUUAUUACCUUUGCCUGAAAAUUAAACAUAAGAAGGGUGAGUAUUUUAAAUACUCAGUAAGAGACCCUCUACUGGUCCCGUCAGGAGAAAAUAAAUUAUUAACGAUCUAUUGGGACACCCUGUACAGUCACAGUCUUGUGAUCCCGUAGGAUACACAUCUCAGUCUAACGCCCCGAGGGACGUACAUAUCAGUCUAGUGUUCUGCAGAAACACAUAUCAGUCUAAUGCUCCCGAAGGUGCAAAAUAAAUUGGUGAUCCCGUGGGACACCUACAAGGUACACAUCCCAAUAAAUCUAACAAUUUUCCCCUCAUUCCAUUCAAUCCAUCCUUCAGUUGCUUCAAAACAUAAAAUUUUUUCUCUCAACGUCCUAACAGUCAACUUACUUUACUUUAGUCAUCUGUCCGUCAAUAAUAUACUAAUACGUCAGUCAAUCAACUAUACAGUCAAUACACCCCUCAGUUCACCAGCACACAAUCAUACUUUAGCGUAAUCGUACACCCAAUCUAAACGAGAAUCACAAGUUCAUAUCUACAUCUCAUACCAACACAAUCUACAAUCUUCGUCAUGUCCACAUACACACACUUAUAUAUAUUUUCCAUGACAUUCACGAUAUACAUUCGACGUUAUGUCUACUUCAAUUCACAUGCAUUCAUAUAUAUUUUCAGUCAAACCACAGUAUACAUUCAACACACAUACAAUUCACAAUCACAAUUGAGCCCAGUAGAAAAUCCCUUACCUGAAAGUUAGGGAAGCUCCUUAAUCAACUAACGUCCUCGAAACAAUCCUAAGCAUAACAACACAAAAUUCAAUUACUUUCACAAUACAUAUCCCACUUAUUUUCCUCAACGUAAGUUUCAACUCACCGAUAUAAUGGCGAACUGAACCUUCAACAAUUCACAAUCUGGUUGUGAAUGUAAGGGAGCCUAACGUUACUCCCAACACCUCAACGCACGACUCGAACUCGCAGCAAAAUCCUAAGUGUGGGUCGGUUAGCGGUCGGCCAAAGGGAACGUGGCGGCUGGGCUUCACAGAUGGAGACCGUCACGAACAGACCGCGAAUCUGAACGGUUACAGCAACUAGUCGGCCGACGUCGAUAGCAGGUGGAGCGGCGGUUGUGAGCGGGGAGCGUGGUCGACGGAGACAGAAUCGGCGAUGGAGACGGCAGAUUGGCGCGCGGGACGACUGCUGCAAGGUUGCUUCGCGAACCGGAGAUGGCGGCCGACGGUUGCAGACGGAGAGGCUGCAGCGGCAGCUGGGUAUGGUAGAAAAGAAAGAGAAACGGAAGAAGAGAAAUUUGGGGUGGCCGGCCGUAGAAAACAAAAAGAAAAGAGGAAGAAAAAAGAAGAAAGAAAAGAGAAAGGAAAAGAGAAGGAAGAAAAGAGAUGGUUGUGGUCGUAGGUUGAACACGAAGAGAAAGGAAGAAGAUGAAUAGGAAAAGAGAAAAAUAAAAUAAAAUAUUAUAAGUAUAUUUUUUUCUUUCUUUUUCUUUUCUUUUAUUAUUAUUCCUUUUUCUUUUUUUUUCUUAAAAUAGAAUUAUUAUUAAUAAUAAUAUGAUUAUAAUAUAUUAUUAUUACUUUUCUGUUUCCUUUACUUUUCCUCUUCCCAAAACAAACAUUCUAUCUCUUCAUUAAAUACUAUCAAUUCCAACUUUUUAUCCCUUCUUUAAAAUAACAAAAUUUUAUAUUAUUCAAACUAAUUAUAUUAUUUCCAAUAAUAUAAUUUUCUCAUCCUUCCAUAACAUCAAACACAUAUAUCUAUACUCAAAAUCCUAAAAUAAAUUACCAAGAUCAUUCUCUUUUAUUCAUCCAUAACAAUAUAAAAAAAAUCAAUUUUCAUAAUUAAUUAAAUAUUCUUCCAUAAAUAUUCAAUUAAUUAUAAUCUUCACAAAACAAACAAAUCUCUUAAUUUAUCUAAAAUAACACCCAAAUAAUUCCAACUUAAAUUCAAUUCCAUUAAGAUAAAUUAAAUUUAAAAUUACCUUAAAUUUUGAGAUGUUACAAUAUAGUUUACUACAUGUUGUUACAACAUACUUAAGAUAUAAAUGUUUAUAUGACUAACAACAUAAUAUUACUAUAAGAUAAACAAAAAAAUAAAGAACAGAUUGAAUUGAAAAAUAUUUUCGAUUACUGUAUGUCACUAUAUAUGUCUGAUUGUAUAUAUCUCUAAGCAAUAUUACAUAAUGAGGUAGUAUAUAUGUAACAAAUCACAUAAUAUAUAUGUAUUAUGGAGUAGUAUAAAUGUAAUUGUUGAGCAACAAAUUUCAACCAAUGAAAUUACACCACGUCGUCGCACCCAAGUUGUGAUGAUUAUAAUUUGAUUGGAUUUGGGUAGUCAAGUUUUCCAACCCAAUUCAAGCCCCUGAUAAAAAAUCAGGCCAAACAAAGGGGCCUAAGCCCACUAAGAAAAUGGGCCCAAGCCCAAGUCCAAGCUCAACAACACAACAAGCAAAUGGGUCCAAGCCCACAUAAAGUCAACAAAUUUUCUCUAUAAGUAGAGACCUUUGUCAUUCAUUCGAGAGAUCUUUUGUUGAAGGAAGAAAUGAAGAUCUGAAGUACUGAAGCUUUGAAGAAUUGAAGAUUCAAACUUCUAUAGAGCUCUCAAGACGUGCAAGUUCUUAUCAACUUCGAGAUCAUCAUCUUCUGAAAUAUUGAAGACUUGGAAGAUCAAAAUUUCCUUAAAUUCCAGAAGACUGAAGCUGAAAUAGACCGAACCAUUUAAAUUCGGUUUGGACUAUUUGAGACAGCAACAAACUGUGUUUUUUGUUUUGUACAUAAAUGGUGUGGUUUGAUUCGGUUUUAACAAGCGGUUCAAUUUACACCGUUUAGACUUGAUCUUAUAUAAUGUGAAAUUAUUUUUUUUCUUUGAAUUUUUAUCUAAGUGUACUCAAAUUGUAUACCAUGUUACAAAAUUAAUUGCAAUAAAUUUUUUAAAAUUUUCAAAAAUAUCAUAAAUUGACUAAUAUUUUAUACAAAUAUAGAGUAAAAAUGACCAAUUUACUCUUUUUAUUAUUAAUAAUAUAUUAAAAAUAAAAAAAAAAAGUGAACCACGUUUAAGAUUUUCAUUUAUUAAAUAUUCUAUUAAAAUAUGGAUUAAAUUCUAUUAAAGUAAUAUUAAUAAUAAAAAUUGUCCUUAGUUUGCUUUUUAUGAUUUUAUUAAAAAAUUGUCCUUUUUUAUUUUGCAUUCUUUUUCAUAUAUUUUAUAUAAUUAUAGUAUAUAUUGAAUAAUAUAAUGUAUAUUUUAUUAGUGAAAUGUUCUUAUAUCAAUUUAUUUAUUUAUUUUAUUUCAAAUGACAUUAUAUCCUUUUUUAUUUUGCAUUCUUUUUCAUAUAUUUUAUAAAACACGUUUCCUAUGGCAUCACGCUUCCUUCCUGCCCCUCGCCUGUUUGCCGCCUUUAUUACCUUUGCAUGAAAAUUAAACAUAAGAAGGGUGAGUAUUUUAAAUACUCAGUAAGAGACCCUCUACUGGUCUCGUCAGGGGAAAAUAAAUUGUUAAAGUUCUAUUGGGACACCCUGUACAGUCGCAGUCUUGUGAUCCCGUAGGAUACACAUAUCAGUCUAACGCCCCGAGGGACGUACAUAUCAGUCUAGUGUUCUGCAGAAACACAUAUCAGUCAAAUGCUCCCGAAGGUGCACAAUAAAUUGGUGAUAUAGAUAUACACACCUAAUCUAAACGAGAAUCUCAUACAAACACAAUCUACAAUCUCCGUCCUGUCCACAUACACACAUUUAUAUAUAGAUUCCAUGACAAUCACGACAUACAUUCGACGUCAAGUCUACUUCAAUUCAUAUACAUUCAUAUAUAUUUUCAGUCAACCCCAGUAUACAUUUAACACACAUACAGCUCACAAUCACAGUUCACAAUCACAAUUGAGUCCAGUAGAAAAUCCCUUACCUGGAUCUUUAUAUAAAAUUCCUUAGUCGAACUAACUUCAACAAACAAACCCCAAGAGUAAAGAAUCGAACUCCAACAAAGCUUAAGGCGUAACUCAAGGACACUAACUCCAAAUCACCGAUGUCGCCUUCAAGAACAAAGAUCAAUUCAACCAAUUAAACAACAUCACAUCUUAAUGUAUUUACAAAUGUAAGACCUUAUUACCGAACAAUCUCAUCCUUACCAAUAUCUUGUAACAAGACUUUGACAAUCGACGUUAAAUAGAAGUUGCCGCAGGAUCUACACAAAAGACAUCGUGCAAAACACUUUUGCACGCGAACUGGUCCGCGAUUCGUAAAUGGGACAGCGGGUAUCGACGAAGGCAGAACGGUUCGGACGUUCAACAGCAGUUACGCGUGGACGGGAGUAGCCCGGCAACGUAGCCGAAUUCGUGCGAUGCGGCGUGACCUGCGUCGGCGAGGCUGUUCGUGACUGAGGCGUGCGACUUGCCUCGCGGACGGAGAUAGAGACGGCGGAGACGGUUGCAGAACCGUGGCUUCGACAGAGACAGAACCGGCUGAGACGGCUGGGCAGCGGCGGAAGAGCAACGGCGCCGCAUAUCUGGACUGGCAGCAGCGCGGUCUUGCUUCGCGGCGGGGCUGCGGACGGAAGAAGAAAAUGGAAGGAAAGGACCGGAGAUUGGCUGCGGCAGGACGGGAAGAAGAAGAUAGAGGUGGUGGUUGCGGCGGAAAGAAAAACGGAAGGGAAGGGAGGCGACGGUUUGCGAACGGGAGAGAAGGGGGAAGGGAUCGGCGCACACGCAGAAGAAGAAGGAAGAAAAGAAAAGAAAAAGAAAAAGAAGAAAAGUAAAAAUAAUAAAGAAAUUUUUUAAUAUUAAAAUAAUAUAUAUAAAAAUAAAAAAAAUAUAUAUAUAUAUAUAUAUUUACCUUUUCUUUGGGCAUUACAUUCUUCCCUCCUUAAGAAACUUUCGUCCUCGAAAGUUCUAAUCCUGAAAUAACUCUGGAUAACGAGUCCUCAUCUCUUCUUCUCGCUCCCAUGUCGCCUCUUCAAUUCGAUGAUUCUGCCACAAAACCUUUACUAAUGGAAUGCUUCUAUUACGAAGCAUCUUUACCUCUCUAGCCAGAAUCUCCACAGGUUGUUAUACAUAGCUCAAAUGCUCAUCAAUCUCCAAGGGUUCAUAGUCCACUACAUGAGAUGUAUCGGCCACAUACUUCCUCAACAUCGAAACAUGGAAAACAUUAUGAACUGCAGAGAGAGAUGGUGGUAAUGCCAAGCGAUACGCCACAACACCAACCCUCUCUAAGAUCUCAAAUGGUCCAACAAAACGAGGACUUAACUUUCCUUUCUUCUCAAAACGCAUAACACCCUUCAUAGGUGCUACCUUCAAGAAUACCUUUUCUCCCACAUCGAACUUAAGGUCUUUUCGCCGUACAUCCGCAUAACUCUUUUGUCUACUCUGCGCUGUUUGCAUACGUGCUCUAAUCUUUUAAAUAGCCUCAUUAGUAGACCGAACUAAUUCAGGUCCCAUCAAUCUAUGUUCACCAACCUCACUCCAACAAACAGGGGUUCUACAACAUUUGCCAUACAAAGCCUCAAAUGGUGCCAUACCGAUGGUAGCCUAGAAACUGUUGUUAUAAGCAAACUCCAUCAAAUGUAGAUGAGAGUCACAACUACCUGGAAACUCUAUAACACAAGCUCGUAGCAUAUCCUCUAAAACUUGGUUCAAACGUUCAGUUUGACCAUCAGUCUGUGGAUGAAAGGCUGUACUAAAAUCCAAUCUCGUACCCACAGCAGUCUGAAGUCCCUUCCAAAACUUGGAAGUAAACCGUGCAUCCCUAUCAGAAACAAUCGAUACAGGCACUCCAUGCAGUCUCACAAUCUCAGUUAAAUACAGCUCUGCCCACUUAUUAGCAGUAUAAGUGGAUUUUCCUGGUACAAAAUGUGCCGAUUUCGUAAGCCUGUCUAUGACAACCAGAAUCACUGUGAAACCCUUCAGGGUCUUAGGCAGCCCUGAAAUAAAAUCCAUCGACACAUUCUCCCACUUCCACUCUGGCACACUUAAGGGUUGUAACAAACCUGCUGGUUUCUGUCUAGGUGCCUUAACUUGCUGACAUACUAGACACUUACUAACAAAUUCCGCCACUUCCCUUUUCAUAUUCCGCCACCAGUAAAAUUGUUUUAAAUCCUGAUACAUUUUCGUGCUACCAGGAUGCAUUGAAAAUGGGGAAUUAUGGGCUUCAUCUAGUAAGUCAAUCUUAACUGUACUGUUCGCUGGCACACACAAACGUCUUUCAAACAUCAACCCACCAUCAGAGGAUAUGGAGAACUCAUCAGUCUGCCCUGUUUCAACAAGGCGACGUCUCUCCAUCAAAUAAGGAUCACUACUUUGAGCAUCAACAAUCUUCUGCCUCAGAGUCGGUUGCACCGUUAAUUGAGCCAGCUGUGAGGUGACUCUUCCCACAGACACUGCAAUCUCAACUCUCUCCAAGUCUCGAUGCAAUGGUACCUGUCUAGUAAUGAGUGCUGCCGAAUGUGAUACUUUUCUACUAAGAGCAUCAGCCACCACAUUCGCCUUACCAGGAUGGUACAAUAUCUCGCAGUCAUAAUCUUUUACCAACUCGAGCCACCUUCGUUGUCUCAUAUUCAACUCCUUCUGAGUGAAGAAGUACUUUAGGCUCUUAUGGUCAGUAAAGAUUUGUAUCUUUUCACCGUACAAGUAAUGUCUCCAUAUCUUCAAUGCAAAAACCACUGCUGCCAACUCCAAAUCAUGUGUGGGGUAGUUCUGCUCGUGACUCUUCAACUGACAAGAGGCAUAAGCAACCACCUUACCUUUCUGCAUCAAAACACAACCCAGUCCUUUCUUGGAAGCAUCACUAUAAAUCACAAAACUUCCAGAUCCAUCGGUACAGUAAGGACCGGUGCAGUAACUAACCUUUGCUUUAAGUUCUGAAAACUAUCCUCACAAGCUGGACUCCAAACAAACGGAGUUCCCUUCCUUGUCAACUGAGUCAAAGGAGUAGCCAAACGUGAAAAAUCCUCCACAAACCUCCGGUAGUACCCUGCUAAACCCAGAAAACUACGAACCUCACUAACUGUAGAGGGUCGAGACCAACUGGUAACCGCUUCUAUCUUUGCAGGGUCUACUGAAACUCCCUCACUGGAAACCACAUGACCAAGAAAAGCCACCUGCUUCAACCAAAAUUCGCACUUAGAGAACUUAGCAUACAGUUUAUUGACUCGAAGAGUCUCUAACACCUUAUGUAAGUGUUCCUCAUGUUCGGCUUCAGUCUUGGAAUAAACCAAAAUAUCAUCAAUGAAGACUAUCACAAAAGUGUCCAAGAAAUCCUUAAACACCCUGUUCAUCAAAUCCAUAAAUACAGCAGGUGCAUUAGUCAAACCAAAAGACAUUACUAUGAAUUCAUAAUGUCCAUACCUCGAACGAAAAGCAGUCUUAGGAAUAUCACGGUCUCUAAUCCUCAACUGGUGAUAAUCUGACCGUAAGUCAAUCUUAGAGAACACCGUGGCUCCCUGUAACUGAUCGAACAAAUCAUCGAUUCUGGGUAAAGGAUAUCUGUUCUUGACUGUUACUUUAUUCAACUCUCUAUAGUCAAUGCAAAGACGCAUCGACCCAUCCUUCUUCUUCACAAACAAUACUGGUGCACCCCAAGGUGACACACUAGGUCGAAUAAAGCCUUUGUCAAGCAAUUCCUGUAACUGUACCUUCAGUUCUUUCAACUCAGCAGGAGCCAUCCUAUAAGGGGCUCUAGAAAUAGGAGUAGUGUUUGGCUCCAACUCAAUGGCAAAAUCAACCUCUCUAUGUGGCGGUAGUCCUGGAAGAUCUUUUGGAAAUACAUCUGGGUAGUCUCUUACCACAGGUUCUGAAGUUAAAGAAGUCUCACCUUCCCUAGUAUCCACCACACUUGCCAAAAUACUCCAAGUACCCUGGUUGAGUAGUUUACUAGCUUUCAUAGCUGAGAUUACUUUAGGCAGUACUACUGUUCCUACCCCCUUGAAUUUAAAGCUAGAUGCAGUAGGGGGACUGAACACAACUUCCUUACGAGAACAAUCAAUACUAGCAUGAUUAGUAGCUAGCCAAUCCAUACCUAAAAUUACAUCAAAGUCACGCAUAUCUAAUACCAACAAGGUUACGUCCAGCACACGACCAGCUAUCUCAAUUUCACAUGCUUUAAUCUUUUCCUUAGACAACAUAAUUUCUCCAGACGGUGUAGACACUGACAAAACAUAGUCUAAGGGUUCCACCUCUAAGCAUGCAUGCGUCACAAAAAGCGAUGAAAUAAAUGAAUGAGAAGAUCCCGAGUCAAACAAGGUCAAGGCAAAAUGCCCUAACACUGGUAAUGUACCUGUCACUACUGUGCCGGCCUUCUCUGCCUCUGAUCUAUUAGUGGCAAAGAUUGUACCCCGCUGUGGAGGUCUCUCUCCCUGACUGCUCGAUCCAGCCCCAGUAGAUCUCAAGGGACACCUAUCAGCCAUGUGUCCCUCUUGCUUGCACUUAUAACAGACUCUCGUUCCCAUCAAACAACGACCCAGGUGGCGUUUCCCACACGUAUUACAUACUGGCCUCUCUCGAGUAGUGUCUCCUGCACCGCCAGAACUCUGCUGGAAACUGCGAAAAGGAUCGCCUGGUCUCAAGUUCCUCUGAGGAACUCCUACAGUUCUCUGCUCUACUUUUCUCUUUUGACCCGACGACGAUCCCUUAUCAAAGCUCCUUGGCUGUAUUUCAUCCUUCCCAAUGCUCAUAUCCACUGCCAGACGCAGUGCUUCAGCUUGGGUAGUGGGCUUUAGUGCUCGCACAAAGCCCCUAAUUUCAUCUCUCAAUCCCUUGACGAACCUAUCAGCUCUAGCCUGCUCAUUACUAACAAGCUCAGGGGCAAAACGUGACAGCAUAUCAAACUCCUGGUCGUACUCCUCGACUGUCAUAUAUCCUUGCUUCAACUCCAAGAAUUCCUGGCUUUUGGCGUCUCUAAGGUUAGCCGAGAAAAACUUGGUAUAGAAGCAGUCCUUAAACUGAUCCCAGGUAAUUUGCCUCACAUCUCCACCUAGCAUGCGCAUUGUAGUCCUCCACCAGAUAAUGCCUCUGUCCCUCAGUAGAAAAGCAGCACACUGAACUCUGUGCUCCUCGGGACAUCUCAUGUAAUUAAAUAUGGUUUCCACAGAGGACAACCACAUUUCAGCUUUAGUAGGAUCCUCCAGUGACCCAUCAAACGUCUGAGGGUCAUACUUCCGAAAGUCCCUCAAAUGUUUCGCCUCAGCAGAAAGUUGGUUCGGUAAUCCUUGUGCAGGAGGGGCUGCUGGUGCAGGGGGAACUACAGGUGCAGGUGGAACCGCAGGUGCCUGCUGGUUUUGAGCUAUAGCUGUCAUAAGUUCUGUAAACCUCUGCUCCAUGUGAGCAGACAGUGCAUCAAACUCAACGUGAGUCACGGGUGCAGCAGGAAUUCGCUGUUCAGCUUGACCCUCAGUAGGCUGAUUACGACCUGCUCCUCUACCUCGGCCUCCUACUCCUCUCUACCUCGGCCUCUACGACCUCCUCUACGUACACCUUCCCUUGGCGGCAUAAUUCCUAUUAUCCACCAACAACACUCUUUAACAAAAUCUUAAUCAUAAGCAUAAGCAAGUCUUUAUCGUCAUGCAAUCUAGUUUAAUUUAGGCAAGGUCAUGCAAAUAAACCAUACAUAUAAGCAUCAAGCAUACCUGACGAGAGACGAAGGGUCGCGUUAGCCAAAGGAACACAAAAACAUAGACUUACAUCGUAAGUCAGUCUACAGAACCUAAAACUUAGGCUCUGAUACCAACUGUAACGACCCAACUUUUCUAAGUAAGUCGAGAUCGUUAAUUUUUAACAAAUAAAGACUUUGAUUAAUAUAAAACAAAACGUAAGCAAUUUAAAAAAAAAAACAUCUUCAAGUCAGGCCUGAUUUUUAAACAUUCAAGAAAACAUAAAAUAGUACUAUUUACAACAAACGUUUGUAAACUAAAUUUCAAUUCAUUUUAAACCUCACAAGAACCCAUAAGCGGAAGCAAAAAAACACGUUUCCUAUGGCAUCACGCUUCCUUCCUGCCCCUCGCCUGUUUGCCGCCUUUAUUACCUUUGCCUGAAAAUUAAACAUAAGAAGGGUGAGUAUUUUAAAUACUCAGUAAGAGACCCUCUACUGGUCUCGUCAGGGGAAAAUAAAUUGUUAAAGUUCUAUUGGGACACCCUGUACAGUCGCAGUCUUGUGAUCCCGUAGGAUACACAUAUCAGUCUAACGCCCCGAGGGACGUACAUAUCAGUCUAACGCCCCGAGGGACGUACAUAUCAGUCUAGUGUUCUGCAGAAACACAUAUCAGUCAAAUGCUCCCGAAGGUGCACAAUAAAUUGGUGAUCCCGUGGGACACCUACAAGGUAAACAUCCCAAUACAAUCUAACAAUUUAUCCCCUCAUUCCAUUCAACCCAUCUUUCAGUUACUUCAAGUCACAAAGUUCUUUCUUUCAACAUCCUAACAGUCAACUUAUUUUACUACAGUCAUAUGUCUGUCAAUAAUAUGCUAAUACAUCAGUCAAUCCACUAUACAGUCAAUGCACCCCUCAGUUCACCAGCACACAGUCAUACUUUAGCGUAAUCAUACACCCAAUCUAAACGAGAAUCUCAUACAAACACAAUCUACAAUCUCCGUCCUGUCCACAUACACACAUUUAUAUAUAGAUUCCAUGACAAUCACGACAUACAUUCGACGUCAAGUCUACUUCAAUUCAUAUACAUUCAUAUAUAUUUUCAGUCAACCCCAGUAUACAUUCAACACACAUACAGCUCACAAUCACAGUUCACAAUCACAAUUGAGUCCAGUAGAAAAUCCCUUACCUGGAUCUUUAUGUAAAAUUCCUUAGUCGAACUAACUUCAACAAACAAACCCCAAGAGUAAAGAAUCGAACUCCAACAAAGCUUAAGGCGUAACUCAAGGACACUAACUCCAAAUCACCGAUGUCGCCUUCAAGAACAAAGAUCAAUUCAACCAAUUAAACAACAUCACAUCUUAAUGUAUUUACAAAUGUAAGACCUUAUUACCGAACAAUCUCAUCCUUACCAAUAUCUUGUAACAAGACUUUGACAAUCGACGUUAAAUAGAAGUUGCCGCAGGAUCUACACAAAAGACAUUGUGCAAAACACUUUUGCACGCGAACUGGUCCGCGAUUCGUAAAUGGGACAGCGGGUAUCGACGAAGGCAGAACGGUUCGGACGUUCAACAGCAGUUACGUGCGGACGGGAGUAGCCCGGCAACGUAGCCGAAUUCGUGCGAUGCGGCGUGACCUGCGUCGGCGAGGCUGUUCGUGACUGAGGCGUGCGACUUGCCUCGCGGACGGAGAUAGAGACAGCGGAGACGAUUGCAGAACCGUGGCUUCGACAGAGACAGAACCGGCUGAGACGGCUGGGCAGCGGCGGAAGAGCAAUGGCGCCGCAGAUAUGGACUGGCAGCGGCGCGGUCUUGCUUCGCGGCGGGGCUGCGGACGGAAGAAGAAAAUGGAAGGAAAGGACCGGCGGCUGGCUGCGGCUGGCUGCGGUUGGCUGCGGCGGGACGGGAAGAAGAAGAUAGAGGUGGUGGUUGCGGCGG